rnacentral:lncRNA from 1 species
UGGAGGUGGAGGUGGAGGUGAGGGUGGCUCCAUUUUGAGACAAAAGGGAGGCGUUGUUUUUUAGAAAGAGAGAGAAGUGGCGUUUGGAGAGAGGAUACGAUUGAGUGCUGCAUUUUGGCAUUUAUAGGUCCUAGUAAUAUAUAAAUCUGUUUUUUCGGUUUUGCCAUUUUUUGUUUUUGUUUUUAUUUUUGUUUUUGCUUUCUUUCCUUUUUUUUUUUUUUUUUUCUUUUUUCUGUUUUAGGUUUCAUAUGAUAUGAUGGACAUAAUAUAUUGUCUUAAAGUGGAUGGAUCAUUAUUAUAUUUGCAGAUGGAUUUACCAUUUUGUACAUUUCAAAGUAAGGUUUACCCUCUCCAUUAGCUAGGCUAAUUUGGGAUUAUUAAUUUUAUUAAAUGGGCAUGCAUUGGUUAACAUCCUACCCGGCGAGCUUUCUGUUCUUUUUCUUUUUUUGGGUUUUAUUAUUUGUGUUUGUACAGUUUUGUUAAUCUACAAUUACCAACCAAAAGAAGAAGAUGAGAAUUGAUUCUAAUUCUUUAAUUACAAAUAGUGCUACACAUCUUACAAUUGUGUAAUUUAACACUCAAUCCAACAUUUUUUGUUUUCAUUUUAGUAUUACAUAUAUCGUGAACUUUAUUACAGAAUAAGUCUUUGCAUAUUUUAUAAUUCUUGAAGCUUGCAUUGGGUACAAUGAUUAGAAACACUCCACAGUUUUCUAAAGAAUUGCAGCUUCAUUCAAAUUUAAUCAAUCAGCAAGUCACUCCAAAGAGUAAAAUCAAAGCAAGUACAUCUUAUAAGUAAACAUGUUUCAGAAGCAAUAAGUACCUAAAUAUUUCUAUUAACCCAUUCUAACACUCGUAUCGAAUAGUAAGAAUAUUUUACUAUAUGUAAUUGAUUUUUAUAAUAAAUAGAUAAAGAAAAAGAGAAGCAUUUUUAUUAAGCCUUUCAUAAAUCAAAAGAGAAAAAGAAUAAACACUUAAAAGAAGCCAACUUGGGUUGGGAUAUUGCGGAUCUAGCUGCCUCUACUAUUAUUAGCAUAACAAUGACAUUUGUUAAGUAGGAUUAAGAACUACUAAUGGUAGCCAUAUGGUCUUAAGUGUAAUGAGUUGUUAGUAAUAAAGUGGGGAUUUAUAUGAUCUUUAACUUUAUGUUAUAAAACAAAAAACAAAAAACAAAAAAAAUGAAUAGAGAAGAAGAAGACACACGUGUAAUUAAGCAGUAAAGAAAGAAAUAAAGAAGGAAAAUGCAUUAUGCAAAAUGCAUAGAGCCAAACAAAAGACAAUAUAAGAAGAAUGGUUCUACGGGUAUCACAUGGGGACUCCCAUAAUCUAAGGAAAAUUUGAAGAAUGCGAUCGUACGUGCAUCUUAGGGAAUGGGGAUGAAGUUAGGCUUUGUUUGUUGGAAUGUUGUCACCCUCUCAUUCUUUUCUCUUUUCCUUUCUUUUUUUUUUUUUUUAACAAAUAUUAUUGUCCUUUUCUUUUCCUUAAUUAUUCUGUCUAACAAUCAUUAUUCAUAUGCAAGAUUACUUCUUUAUUAUUAAUUUGAUUCUUUACCAUUUUUUUAUACUGAAUUAUGCCUGGAUUAUUUAAGCUUCAUGUGGACUGCACUAUGUCAAAUUUAUAUUCCUGACUUCUGUAUAAGCCAACACCAAAUUAUUUGGUUAAUCAAACUGCAGAAAUUUAGGAAACUGUCCUAUUUGUACAGUGUUUACUCUCGAGAAUUAAGGAUUUUAAAUAUAUAAUCAAUUCUUUUGAAGAUAUGUUAGUUUAUUGUUGAUAUUUAUUAAGAUGAAGACAUAGAUAAUGAUAUAAAUGGUUGUUAAAUUUUAUAUUCAGUCUCAUUUUAAUUAUAAAAUUUCAAUUUGCUUCGUUUCAAUCAUCUAAUUUUAAUUUUAUUUUAAUUUAAUCACUUCACAAAUAAGACAUUAACACGUGACAAGAACAACCAAUAAAAAAAAAUGUACUUAAGUAAGAAAAAUCAGUUUUUUAUUAGAAAUAUGACUAAAUUAUAAUUAACACUAAGUUGAAUGAUUGAAAUGAAAUAAAUUAAAAUUUUAUGAUCAACAUAAAACUAAAUGCAAUGUCUAGUGACUACUUAUAUUAUUAUCCCUGAUGAAGCAGGUACAUUCCAACUUCCUAAUAAGAUGAUAUUUAAAAAAAAAAGACAUCAUGAUAUAUAAAAUAAAAUUGAGCAUUCCAUUAUUUCAUUUUGGAAGAUUGAUGAUCAUUAAUCUUUUUUCAUUAUUUUAAUUUUACUGAUCUUGUUUUGAGUGUAAUGUUUAGAUUCUUAAAAAUGACCUAAAUGGAUGUUUUGCGGAGCUAAAGAUAGUUAGUAAUAUAACUUAAAAAAAAAAUUAAAUUAGAGAUACUGCAAUAUAAAAUAAGGAUAGUUUGAAUCCUAAUAGCUAAAAUAUAUGAAAAAUGGUAAAGAUUAUACUCAAGUUCAAAAUGAAUAGUUGGAAAUUGUUUUCGGUAUAGAACACUCAUGUCGAAAAAAAGAUUUGAACCCUUUUUUUGUUUUGAAAAAUGGGUAUUUCACUCAUUCUUAUCCAAUGGGUAUUUCACUCAUUCUUAUCCAAUGCUGAGCAGAUAACCUAUGCAUUAAAGUAAAUUCUUUGAAUUUGAAGAAAAAAAAAAUAAUUUUACUGACAAUUACUUGUUUGGUCAGAAGAGUCUUCCGAAUAUAAAUAUUCCGGUCUUGGGUUAGUGAUUAGUUUCGAUAUUUUUCGAUAUUUUGAUUUUGAAAUAUGUAUUAUGAUAUGAAUAGAGAAUAGAGGAUAGGCUCAUUUCAGUCAAAAAAGCUAUGGGAAUUUCCCCAUACCAUAAGUAAGUAAAAAUAAGAUGAUGUGCUGAGAUUCAGCAAAGUAGAAAACAUCAUUAGAAAGCAAGGCUCUUUGGUAUUUCUUUUUGUUUUGAAACAUAAGCUAUUUCCCAACCUAAUUUGCUUUGGCAACAACUAAAUUUACAUAUUAGUAUUGAAUAGACUAAAAUUGAUUUGAAAACAAAAUAGUAACAACAACAAACAUUUUGAUUUGAAGAUCUACAAUACCAUUAUUAUACAAGAAGUGGAAGAAGCUGUUACUAACAGAGUAUUUUAAAGAGGGAUUAGUUUCAAAAUCGUAUUAGUUACAUUAUCAAGUCCCCAUUAAAUAAAUAUCAAAUGGUGAUUUGGGUUCAAUAAGUUAGGUAAUGCUUGUGGAUCAAACCUUAAGAACAUCACCUACCAUAAGCUAAAGCUGAUAUUGUAAUCAACCGGGUUGCUUGCUUCCAUAUCUUGUUACUAUUAUAUGAUUGCAUUUUAUUUUUCUUCUUUUGGUGAUCCAAUUUUUCUGAAAUACAAGCGGAUUAGAUGUUCUCUAGUUUUAUAAAGAUUUCGUAUGAGUAGUUUUUAAUUGGUAAUGAAAAUUCUAUUCGGCGGCUAUAGAAGGAAGGCAAUUCCACCAUUAUGACAUGCUGCUUAAAUAUGGACUUACAGUAAUUUGAUGGCAAUACAUCACAAAAGUCCUUUUUACCGGAGAGAAAAUUGAGUCUUACAAAAUCCUUGUUCUCUGCAUAUGCUAUUGCCUUAACCGACAGAGUUACCAGCGGAGCUAAAGUUCUGCUUUUGUUUAUAUAACCAAAAUAAAAUAUCAUACAGAAUAUGAAUGGCGCAAGCCUGAGAUGCAAAACCACAAGCUUCACCAACAAACAUUUUCUCCAUUUUAAUUCAUCUCUGUCUCUCUUCUACCAAUGCAAUGCUAAUUCAUUUCAAAUUCUCAAACAAUUCACAUCACAUUAAAUAAGAUACUCAGAAAGCAGAACUUAAUAUUCUUCUUCUUCUAGUAAAUUGAGAUAUACAUGAUGAACUAUAUAUAUAAAAACAAUUUCUUUUAUGCGAUUUACUGUAUAUUUUGUUAACGCUGCACCAACGUUGCCCUAUUCCAAUGAAACUGAAUUUGUCUGGUGGAUCCUUUUCACGUUAAUUUUUGGCAUAUGUGCAUGUGCAUGUACAGGCAUACCAUAUAUAUAUAUAUGUGUGUGUGUGUGAAAAAUAGUUCUUUUCAUGGCGUAAAUUUAAUUUCGCUAAAAAGAAAAAAAAAUUAAAAUAUUUGGGUCCCUUGAUCAACAUGUAGAUAUAACUAACAAUUUUUUCUUAAAAAAAUAUUACUAUUAUUGCGGUUGUGGUGUUUAAUAAGGUCCGACAUUGGAGCUGUAUGGUGAGAUUUAUAUGUGUAUGAGAGAAGGACAUGAGAUAGUGAGAGUGCCAUAUCAUAUGCUGUUUUAAUGUUGAUUGUUACAACACACGAGCAUGGUUUUAAAGUUAUGGUCCUACAUUUUCUCCAUUGCCAUUGUCAAGUGCUUAAAUGACAGUGUGUAUGUAUAUAUAUAUAUAGAUAUGUAUUAUCAAUAAUUAUAUACAUCUCAAUGAACCCAUAUGCUACUAUUAAAUGCUUAAAUCAUAAUGGCCAUUCCAUCAGAUUUUUGGCAUCACAUGUAACUAGAUUUUGCACAUUAAGGGGAAAAAAGAAAAGAAAAACUGUAACUAAACUGAAAUGAAAAAACUCAACCCUAAUAAAUUAAACAAGCUCAAGAAGCAGUAAAAUCUAUAUGCAUUGGUUAAAGAAGAGAAUUUCUUGAAAUCACACACAACUUUUGUAAUCAGUGACACCUGAAAACCAAAAGAAAAACAAGAACAGGGAGAGGAAUCAUGCAUAUAAAGUCAGAUAAAGAAGAAAAAUAAAGAAAUAAAAAGGGAGUGAGAGUUUUGUCUUUUUUCUUAAGCUUUAAUUGUCAAAGCAUGCCUAGUUCUUUUUUUGGUUUUGUUUUGUUUUGGCACAGGGUUUUUGUAUUUGUCUUGGAUUCAUAAUUUGAUAUCAGGAAGAGGAUCCAAAAUAGGCAACUGAAAAGAAAUUAUAUAUCACACCAUUUCAUGAGUGGCUGCUUCACGUGUAUACCACAUCACCUCAUCUCGCCUCUCUCAUUAUCAAUUUUCUUUUGAUUAUAUCACAAAUCAUUAUCUCUUCAUACAUAUAUUCUUUUAUCAGCUCUUGGAUUCCUAUUGUUUUGUUAACAUUAAAUAAGACUUCUAUUCUUUAUGUAAUAAUAUUAAUAAUCGGAUUAUGUGUCUCUAAACGGAUUUUGAAGUUGGAAAAUUUAUGGCAGAAAAGUCUCAACUUCAACCUUGCUAAGAGAUAAUUCUUGUUGGUAUGGUCUCCCACUUGAAUUCUGAAAUAAUCUUUAAUGAACUAAACACCAAUAGUAAAAAAACUGCUCAUUUCUACCUUAUUUUUUUCCAUAAGCCAAACUACUACUAAGUGUUAGUUUCAACCCAUUAAACCUCUAUCACUGUCGAAAAAAGAAAAAAGAAAUAUUAAAGGUCAAGUAAAAUCUCAUUGAUUUGGUGAGAUGGCCGGCUCACAUUUAUGUUAUAUAGUUUUCUUAGCCUAAAAGUCCUUCUAGUAAUCAAUACUCGAAGACCCAUAUAUCCCAACUUUAGGUUACACACAAUAUCUUUUACACUGUUUUCUUUUUAAGGCUAUGUUUUGGUUCCUGUUAAGAACAUAAUAACCCCACCGAGGGUUUUUUCUAUUUCUUUUUUUUUUUCGUUUUUACUUUUUAUUUUAGACUUUUGAAGUUUCAUAAAAUGUGUUCCUGUCUGCCAUCAUUUGGUGGGAGAAAAUUUGAGCUUCCACCUAAGCACAAAGUUGAAGGAAAGUUAAAAAAGAAAAACUACUAAUUAUAUUCCUCCACCCAUGUCAAAGUUAGGAACAUAUGUACUUUAAAGAAAAAGGCUCAUACACUUUGAUGAUGCCCUUGUCGGCCAUGAUUUCCCCAUCAGAAAGAAUUGAUUUUUUGUUUUAUUAUUUAAAUAUGUUAUUGGGUUCAUUUAAAGCCAACACAACUAAUUAUAAAAAUUUAUUAAGACUUAAUAGGAUGCUUUUCGUUUAUUAGUUUAUCUCAUAGUUUAGUAUUUGGUUCAAUGCUUGUUCACUAAUAUAUUAUAAACUUUAUAGAUGAUAAAAAAUCUAUAAACUAUAUGAUCAUUUUCUUUUUAAUUGAAAGACAUGGUUGUUUGUUAUGGCUAUAUUGUUGAUAGCAAAUUCAUUGUAACUACUAUAUAUGUUUUAUAUAAAAAAUUAUUUUCAGGUCUUUAGAGUUUUAGUUUUUUGGCCUUAUUCUUUAGGCUAUAAAUGCAAUUUAUUAAUUCUCAAACUAUUAUUUUUGUUAACAUUAAAGACCCUUUUACCUAAUACAAAUGAUGCACCAUGAUUGGAAGUCUACUUUGUGAGGGAGUUGAAAAAAAUUUGUUUGAAGUUUUUAUUGAAAAUAGAAAGAGAACAUUUUAAUAUACAUCAUAUACUCCAUAAAUAGGUAAAAAGAUCAUUGAUUAUCAAUUUAUCUUAAUAAAUCAAAUAUCAUGAUUUAUUUUACCAAAAAAAUAUUAAAAUACUAAAUUAUGGCUUAUAAUGAGUUUAACAACCAAUAAAUUAGUACACAAUUAGCGUAGCUUAAUUGACAUAUUCACAAAUAAUUAUAGUUGGGUUCACGAGUUAAAUACUCAUACCAUUAAACUUCCAUAACAAACAAAACUAGUAAUAGAUGUGGUACACUUUCGCUAUUGAUUCAAAUCGAGAGGAAUUAUAUAAAGUAUAUUAUAAUUAAGCAAAUCAAGUAACCUCUAAUUUCAAAGUACAAAAAGGAAGCAAUUUGAUCAAGCCACGACAAUGAUAAUAUUCAAGUGUACUGUGUCUGUGUAUAUAUAUGAUUAGUGCUAUUAGUUGAGUGAUUAGGCACUUCGAAAGCAGGAUAAGUGGUGGAAUCCAAAAGGAAGCAAAUACAUUAAUGGCUGCUUUUGAACGCACAAACAGAAGCAAGACUAAUUAAGCUGUAAGCAAGUCCAUUGAGAAGGAAUUGAAAGCAUGCAUAUCAACUCAAUAACCCCAUCAUGAGGUAUACCUCAAGUUAUUAUUAUUGUAUAAUAAGUUAUUUGGAUUAUAUGGAGUCUCCUUCAAUAUUUGUUGAAGUGGACACCAAGCAUUUAACAUUACUUUCAUUUUGCUCAAAAAUGGAUGCUCCAUAUAUAUUUGUGUGUUUGUGUAAAUAUGUAAUUGCCACAGGGACCCACAAAAAGACCAUCUAUACGUUGCUUGAUUAGUAAUUUCUUAAGAAGGGAUCCAUUACUGGGUGUGACAUGUACAUUUACAUGUUAUGAAAUUCACCAAUAUGAGUGUCCUAAGCUAUGAAAUUUAACAACUCAUAUAUGAUCAAUGAUUUUGCGUUAGCCUGUUUUACAGCCCUUUGAUUAUGGUUCUAAAUUUGUGGGUCCAUAUAUAUAUAUACAUAGACUUGAUUGUUCAUAUAUCAGAUGUAGAUUUUAGAUGUUCACAAAUUUCUUUUCUUUUUUGGGCACUUUUCAUGAGUGAACUUUGUUCAGCGCCGUGGGCAUAACUGUAACUGUUGGGUUGGGUGAUGGCUGUUUCCACUAAACCCUCUGCAAUUUUUCAUAAUGGAAGACAGCAUUACUUUGUACCUGGGUUAUUCCACAACCUCACGUUGAGAGUUUUGCUUUUCCUUUUUGUUUCCUUACAUCCCCUUUUAAUACUAUUUAUCUUUUCUUCUUUUUUCUGGUGUUUUUCAUAAUUAAGAUGAUUGUCUGUGGACAUUGAUGGCAUGAAGGAAUUCAAGUGUAUUAUCAUUGCAAACGAUUACACAGAUUGCCAAUUGUUAUAUAAGAAUAAUAACUUCAUAUUUAGAUAUGUAUAGAUAUUGUUAUGAUGAUGAUGACGAUGAUGAUGAUACCAAAUUGUGCAAAAUUUUGCUUGUAUUCAUCAUAUUAUUAGCUGUUGGUUAGACUGUUUGAGUGUUUCUUUUAAUUUUGUUAACAAGGAAUGAUUUCCCAUAACUGUCCAUAUUAUAGAGGCAAUAGUUGAGCCCAAUUUAAUCCCUAUUGCAAUAACACUACGGGUCUUUUUUAGCCCAUGACCAAUUAAUAAUGCAGAUACACAAACAAUACUUUUAGCCCAUCAAAACCCAUUUGAGCCAGCAUCCCAUUCCAUAUUUCUAUUUUCUCUGUGCCUCCUUAGUAGUAGACCAGUUCAACAGGCGGAUAGGCCUAAGGGUUUUGUUUUUUGUCUUUCCUUGUCUGUGGUCAAUAUCAGGUUUUGAUUUGUGUUUCAUGACUUAGCCUGACUCAUUCGGAUGAAUCAAACAAGUCUACAUCAUAUGCCAAUGAAACACAUAAAGAUUACAAGAAGAUUGAGCAAAAAGAAAAAAGAAAAAGUACGCAGGGCUACUUUCUUUACAAAUAAUUUACUUUUUCGGACGUGUGCUUUGAUUUGGAUCAUUAUAUAAAAACUCAGUUGCCAUGUUUGUUUUUUUUUUUCUAAAAAAAAAAAAAAAGAUAUAACUGAUAAUUAGGAAAAGGAAAAAUUAUUGGAGGCCAUUGUUUGUGUACAAAUGAAAGGUCACUUGAAUCAAAAGGUUUCACGCUGAGAUCCGAACGUUGAGGGGUGAGAUAGAGAUAUAUAGGCAGAUAUCUUAUUGAAUCAAUCAAAGUAGAAAGUCAAAUUUUACUGAUAUCUCUCCAAUCUAUGAUCGAUCUUUCUAUCAAUAAAGAAAGGGUUAAAAGUAAUAUUUUGAUUAUCCAAUCGCAUAAAACAAGAUAAUGCUGUGCACAUGCCUUAUUCCAAGUUUAUUGAUUAACCCCUUCAGUUAAUAUUUUAACAUUAAGAUUGUUCAUCUUUUAUUCUUUUUAAUCUUCUAUUCCCUAUUGCCAUUGCAAACUUUCCAUUCCACUGCUUUCAUUGUCGAUUGUCGAGGUAUGGCCAGUGGCUGUGAAUGUUGAAAUAUUCUGUUUUUAUCUUUUAUUAUUAUUUUUAUGAGGAGAAAAUUGUCACCAUGGGUGAACUUUAAACUUUAAUAUUCGAGUAGUAUCCUUGGCAGGCUAUUAUUAUUAUUAUUAUUAUUAUUAUUUAAAGAUGGAAGCAGACCCUUACUUAGAUUUAACAAGAAAAAGAUAGACCAUGUACAAGGAAUACAUUCUUCAAUCUAGGAUAGAGAUUUGACUAUUACACAUAAUUAAAAUUGAUUGAUAUAAUUACUAAUUUGUUUUAUAAAUUCUUUUGAAUUCAAUUUGAGAUACUUGAAAGAAUUAUUAUUUUUUUAUUCAUAGAAUGGGCUGUAGGCUUUUGUGGGAUUUGAACUCAAAACCUCAACUUUCUAAAAGUAAUUGCUCUUGCCACUUGAGGUAAGCUUCAAAUGUAGUUGAAAAAAUUUUAUUAGUUACAUUUAAAAGAAUGAUAAGUUAUAAUGAUUCAAAUCCAAAUAUCAAAAUUAUCAUUCCUGAUCACUUGACUCAUAAAGGUAACUAAAUCUCCAAGAAAAUACUUAUCGCACAUGGGUUAUCAUAUUAUGUAUUGUCUUCAUUUUUGGCUGGACAAAUGAGAAACAUAAUUCUAUAGAGUAAUGGGGACACUAAAAUGCAACACCGAAAUUCUACUAUACAUUAAUCCUGAUUUUGUUCAUUGGUGUGGUUCUCCCAAUAUUAGUCCAAGACCGCUAGUAAAAAUCCUCUCCUUUCCUUCAAAAUUUUAAUUGAGAAAUCAGCCCAAUAUUUCUGUGACCAAUAACUUUUUAUUGACACCUAACAUUCCCAUCACUCAAUGCAAUGUAAACUGAUCUAGCCCAAUCAUUAUCUCUUUUUUCAAUUUUUUUUUUUAAGAUAGAGAGUUCAAGAAUUCGUUGUCAAGAUGUUGAUCGAUAACAAUUUCUUGGAGAAGUUUAAAUAUUUUGCUAGAUAUUUUAACUUGUUAUCAAUAUUCAUGCACCCAAAUCUGGUUCUGGAUCAAAAUAAGAAUGUCUAGAUUUACAUAAAUUUAUAAAUUGCGUGCUGUUAAGUGGUAGCUGCCUUGGCUACUGAAAAGAGUUAUAACUUUUAUGAAGCGUAAAUAAUGCUGACAAUAACACAUUUUUAUAGGAUUUGCAAAGAGCAUGGAUAUUUGGAAGAAGAUGAGCAAUUCUUAGAGGUUUAGGAGCUACCACCAAGCUAGAUUUAAGUCACAUUUUUUCACUUGUAUUUAUAAUAUGCUGCCGUAAAUUUUUCAAGUAAUGAUAGAUGUAAUGUUUCAUUACAUGAAUAAUUUUAUAAAUAAUUGAAUAAUUAAUUAUUUUUUAUAUACUUUUCACGCCCUCCUGCUUAAUGUUUAAUUAAUUAUUGCAACUCUCUUCAUAUAAUAUGAUGCAUUAUAUUAAUCAUUCAAUAGAUUUGGAUUACAUUUUUCAGUUUUUUUCUUGUCAUUUAUAUUAUAUUUUUGCGAAAGGCUUGAUUAGUAUGGAAGACUGCUUGAGGGAUAGUCUUUCCUCUUUCUUAAUUUCCGUUCUUUGUUUGUCAGACAGAAACAUUAUCAUUAACUUUCAUUUUUCUUGUCACUAAAUGCAUAUAUAUUUUUUGUUUAGAAAAUGUAAGCAAGGAAGGUGCAGAGAUCGGUUUUGAACUUCCCUCAUUUCUUUCCAGCAUGUUUACUACCCAUUCACCAUGCGCGUCAACAAUUGUAGUGUUAGGCACUACUAAUUUAAUAAAUUUCCAUUUCCAGUUUGUAUUUUUUAUUUUUUACUGAAGUUGGGCUGGCAUCUAUUAUGUUCCAAAACAACCCUAAUGCUAAUCUAACUAGUAUUUAACUCUCUUUCUAAAAAAAAAUAAUUAUUUUACCCUAACCCUUUUCCAAAAAAAAAACUCUAACCCUAACCCUAACCCUAAUAGGGUUUGUGUGUUGUGUGAAGAAAACAAGGGUUCCGUUCCUCCAAAUACAAUGCCUUUCUAAAUGCUUCUUUUCGAGGCGACACGAGCACUUUCCCGGCGUUUCCUCCCACCUCUUGGAAAUUCUCAAAACUUUCCUCUGGAUUCUCGUGACCUCAUUUGCCCCAAAUUAACCCCAUUCACCCCUUAUAUUUACUUGACAAUUCCCUCCACUUCCUUGUCAGUCUUUCUUUUUUGAGAGGACUUCCUUCACAUAUGUAUUUAAACAUGAUUCAAGGAUACAUGGUUCUUUGCACACUAAUUUAAACAUUGAUUUUAUCACAGCCAUCCAACAUUAGGAAUUAUAUGUACAUCAAUUCCCAUUUUAUUUUUAAACAAAUGUUGAAUCCCCAUAUAAGAAUUUCAUUCCACGACUAUUUGCAUGUAAUUUAUGAAACAACAUGUCAGAUUCAAUAAAAACCAUAUUGUCAUUAAGAGAAUCUAUUAGUAAUGUUUACUUUCCACUUACUUCACCUAACAGAGUAUAUCCAUUCGAGAAAAUAGUAUCAAACUAUUGGUGAACUAAAAAAAGGUGAUAUUAAUGAGCAUGAACACAAGGACAAUAUCGGAAGAAAAAGAAAAGGGCACCGGGAUCAUGGUGAUAGAAUGGUCAAAGUUGCUCCUAAAUUAUGUUUUUUUGUGCAAGCAUGCAAACCGGAUAAUCGGUCCGACUGGCUACAACUUUCAAACCGUAGGCCAAAAACAACUGACACGUGUCAGUCACAUUCCUCUGCAUUUGGCCGCAAUAUCUGAAACGACAUGAGCUUUCGAUUUAAUGAUUUUACCGCAAAUGGCCGGUGGCUAAUCCAACCCCUCAUACUUCUCUCUGCUCCAUUUUCAAGAAGAGAAACAAACAUUGCUUGGUUUACAGACUCUGCUAGUAAGUAACUUAAUGGUUCUUUCAGGCCUGCUAUGCUUGUUAGACCCCUUUUCUUUUUCUUUCUCUUUUUCUCUUUUACUUUGCCUUGUUGUCAUUUCUUGAUAUUCCUGUAUUAUUUACAACGUCAACAUUUUUUUCUAGUGCCUUUAUAUAUUCGGGAAAAUAGAAUUUUCUUUAUUUUGUUUUUUUGUUUACGAUAUUCCCUUUGAGAAGUGAGUGGAAUUUGAGUUUAUAGGAUUGCGUAUGUUCUUGGAGUGAAAAUUAAAUUGAAGAGAGAAGAGGAUAGAAGCGAGAGACGUGGGUUCUGUCCCCCUUAUUGUGGUGCACUUUAAUCAAUUCAGUCUUAUAUAUACAUGUUCAAGAAUUUUGGGGGAAGUGUGUCAUCUUGGCAGUUGAUUUUACUUUAUUUAAUCUUUUGUUUUGAUUGUUAACAAAUUUGUUUUGUUUAUUGGUUAUAUCUGGGUUUAGAUUCUUAGCAUUUCUUUAGUUUUAGAAGGUAGUCUGAACCCCGGAAACUCUGAAUACUUCAGUUUCGAAAUCAAUACCCCGACCCCCUUUUAUAUAUAUUUUUGAACCUUCAAAAAUUAUAUUCUUGUCAGGUUUGGCUCUCUUUCCAUUUCUUUCAGUCUGAUUGUCAUUGAUAAAAAAUUUCAACCCUAACACCUUAAAAUGUUCUGAUAUACUAUGAAAAAUGUAUAUGUCUCUGCUCAUUUAAGCAUGCAUGCCUAUUAAUAUAUAUUGAUGAAAUCACAUUUGCAUACAUGCUCACCACAUGGAGACAAUCACUAUGCUACACAUGCAGCACACUAAGGAUAGGCACAAAUAUUUUAGGCUGCUGACCAAGAGAAGUAUAGUUUACCUCAAUUAGGAGUUUAAGCUAUGUGAUAGUUUUUUUAUUGAUUGCACUGACAAGAUGGAGUAAAUAUAAAGGGAAGCUGAGAUUUUUUUGCAAUAUUUAAACAUGACCUGAGUACAUAAAUAACAAAAGGGAGGUUAAUAUAAUAGACAUUGCAAGCGUAUUGUGUUGUGCAUAAGGACAGAAGUAAGAAGUUAUUUUAAUGUUCAGUUUAUAACUUUUGACGGGGAACGAAGAUCGAUUAGGUGGUCAACAGAUUUCUACUUGGGGAACCGAACGAAAUCCUUCAAAAUAAAAUUUCUUAAUUCUACUGGGCAAGUUUUGGUCGUAUUUUGAAUGUAAGAGCAGUGCUUACUCCUUACUGGUACUUUUAAUGUUUAAUAUGUCGGAUAUUUACAUAAAAUAUUGCAUGUCCGUACACAUGCAUCUUUAACACAUGCAGAGACUCGGGGAUCUACAAAUUUGGUUUUGAUGACUAAUGAAUAUAACCCAUUUGAGUUGAGGGAGAGAUGGAAAAUCUUCUGUGGUUUAUGGGUUGAUCAUUUUCUUUUUCUUUUCUAAAUAUAAAAUGUCUAUUUAUAUAUAGUUUCUUGAAGAUGAGAGAGAGAGGUCGGUAACUUUACGUAGAAUGGUGGGAUUUUUAGAGUAAGAGAUGAUUUGCAGAGUGUGGGAAUGCUGGGCUUUGGGGAGUCAUAUAUUGCACUCAACGAGGACGAGAGUUCCGAUAACCCAAGUGGGGAUAGAGAGAGAAAGAGAGAAUUCAAGGGUAGUAUAUUAUUUGGAUUUUUCCAGUUGGAAUUGUGGGUUUGUCUCAAUACAUAGACUGAAAUGAUUUGAAUUUAAUUACAUAUAGUUUAAUUUAAAUGACACUCGUGUCCUUAGUUGCUUAUUAUUUUCCAUUAGAUUAUAGGUACAUAAUUUAAUAAUCUACUAUUGUUAUUAUAGUAUGAUUAUGAUUUAGUAUUCAUGUGUUGGAAAAUGGUUCUGAUGGUCUGACCGCUUAAAAUGACCAUUGCCAAAGGGGUGAGAAAAGGAACAUUUUGGUUGAUUUGGUUCUGAUGGUCUGACCGCUUAAAGAAGGGCUCUCUCUCUUCCAGUUUUUCUUUUUUAAACUACUUAAUGCCUUUCUCCAUAUUCUUUCUUUUCAUUCUCUUCUGCUUCUCUUCCUCCUUUCUCAUGUUUCCUAACAGUCUUCAAAAAUCUUAGAGACAGAGAGGUAUAGAGGAGGAGAUAGAAUACGACAGCAUCCUUAGCUCGUCACUGGUGCAAACCUAAAGGUUGCUGUAAAUUCUUUAUAUAUACUUUACCUUCUUCAAUUUUUUGAUUACUUUUUUCUUUCAGCUCAUGAAAUUUAUUUUGAAUGUAUUGUUUUGUUACAUGCAGGAGAUUUUUGAUCUAUUAAAGUACAAAAUACUGUAUCCCUUAGAAUCAUUCUUAAAGACUUACAAAUGGGCUCCAUGAAUUCAAACAAUUGGCUUUCUUUUCCUCUUUCUCCUACUCAUCCUUCUUUGCCUACCCAUUUACAUACUUCUCACCCUCAACAGUUUUCGCUAGGGUUAGUCACUGAAACUAUGGACAACCCCUUUCAAGCCCAAGGUAUCAAUAUAUUUCUCUGUGUUUUUUCUCACUAAUUUUUAUUUUUCUUUCCUUCUUUUCUUUCAUCUCUUUACUUAUAUUUUUCCUUCUGUAUUCUCUAACUAUAUAUAUAAAUUUAUAGAAUGGAGCCUUGUUAACAGCCAAGGCAGCAAUGAAGUUCCAAAAGUUGCAGACUUUCUUGGCGUGAGCAAAUCCGAGAAUCAAUCAGAUCUUGUUGCCUUCAAUGACAUUCAGGCUAAUGACUCUGACUAUAUUUUUCAAAGCAAUAGUCUGAUGCCUGUGCAAAACACUGUAGCAUCAGCUUCUAGCAACUAUGAGUUUCAAGAAAAUUCUAAUAAUUUGCAGUCAUUGACAUUGUCGAUGGGUAGUACUAGUGGCAAAAGUUCUACAUGUGAGACCAGUGGCGAUAACAGUAAUCAUACCGUUGAAGCUGCCGCCCCAAGAAGGACACUAGACACAUUUGGGCAAAGGACAUCCAUAUAUCGUGGUGUAACAAGGUGAAGUACUCACUGCAAUAUCGAUAAUAUGUUUUACUUUUUCUCUUUUUCUCUCUGAAUUUAUACUAGCUAGAAAUGUGAUGUAUAUACAAUUAUACGAUUUUGUAAUGGUUGUAAGUUUGCACAUGUAGACAUCGAUGGACGGGACGGUAUGAAGCUCAUCUGUGGGAUAAUAGCUGUAGAAGAGAAGGUCAAUCUAGGAAAGGACGACAAGGUAAAGAAUAUUGACUGGUCUGAUUUAGGAUUUAUAAUUUUCUUAUUGUAUACUAACUUUUCCUUUUCAAUUUCAUGGACAUCAUUGGUUCUUGCUGGCAGUUUAUUUAGGUCAGCAAACUCUAUUCUCAAAACCUUUGAUUAUAAUAUUUUCAUAUUUUUUUUUACUGAAUGUACAUGGAAUUAAUUAAACCUACAUUUUGUUUUUUUUUUUUUUUUUUUUUUUUUAUAUGAUCAGGGGGUUAUAACAAAAAAAAAANNNUGUUCUGCAUUUAUUUUUGUCGAAGUGGCGGGACUUUUGCUAUCACACUUCCCCAUUAUUAUUGAGUACUAACUAAGUUCUUUAUCUAAAUGAAGUUUUAAACAACAUGGUUAGAGCAUACAAGCAAGAGCAUGUUUACAAACACCCAUGGGAGAGGGUAACUUCUGCGUCUUGGCGCAAGUUUACUGACCCUGAGAACAAACGUGUUCUUUCUCAUGUCCUUGAAGUGGACACGUUGAACCGGAAACUUGACCGUGAAGCUGGGAAGCUAUAUACUACUCGUGCUGUUACUGUGCAUGCUCCAGGACCAUGGUUCAUCCGUAAAAUUAUUGGUCAGGAAAUUUGCCACUGUGUUGAAUCGACAGUUGUUGAUGCCCAAACUCGGUCGAUGCAACUUUCCAGCCGCAACAUCAGUCUCCAGAAGUUCAUUGAAGUGGAGGAGAAGAUACGUUACGACCCUCACCCUGAUAAUCCAACUGCUUGGACUCUUUGUCGGCAGGAGACAAGUAUACGGAUAAAGCCGUUGUCUGCAUUGGCAUCAAUGGCAGAGAAGAUAGAACAAAGAUGUGUGGAGAAGUUUUUACAGAAUAGUGCCAAGGGUAGAGAGGUCAUGGAGAGGAUAUGUAAGUAUCUUGAAGCUGAAUCUGGAGGGAUUUCCCUGUAAUUCUUUCUUAUUUCUGUCUUUUCACUUUAACCUAGUGUUAGAUCAUAGUUCGUUGGAGUCUCUUUAAGAGUAGAAAAAGGAAAUAAUCCAUAUGAAAAAAUGAGUAAUGGAAGUGUAUGACACGGGAGGAUUGACCUUCAAAUUUUGAAGUUGCUUUCUUAUUUCAAAUUUAAAUGUCUUUGACUGGGAAGAUAUGCGUUGACGAAUAACCUAUCUUCUGGGUAUUCUUCUAAAAGUUUUGUUUGGGAAGCUGGAGCUGCUAAUUGGAUUGGAGAUAUGAAAAGAAAAGGUGGUAAGAGUCUCAUGAUCACUUUAAUUCGUAUAAUUCCAGGAUACUUUUAGACAUGGUCUUUCUUGUUUCUACCGCCUAAAACUAGAAAUCUUUUUAUAUCUAAAAUAGAAAUUCAAUUAAAAUGCAUGAUGACAUUAUCGAGAGAAAGAGUGAACUGAUAAUGCAUUUGACAAAAACACAAGGAUAAACAAUGCCCAAGAAGAAGGCGUCUCCCACAUGGAUCAAACCAGGAAGAAAAUAAAAAUCAGAAAGAUUGUUAGCAAUAGCAUCGCAAACCAGAUUCAGUAAUACCAGAUUAAUGCCAUGAAAGCCAUAAAUAAAAUUUACAAAGCUACGCACACGAGAGUUCAUGGAUGAUUCCAUAUAUCAUUUAGAAAUUGCACAAGCCACAUUUUGUUGUACUACCAAAGAAACGCCAUAUGAAACAGGACACAUUACAAACCUAACCAAGACAAAGUCCAUCAAACCAGCACAGAUUUAGACUUAAAAACACUGGAGCCAACACAUAAACUCUCGCCAAUCACAAGAUAUAGAGUUCGUAUUGCAGAGAUGUCCUAUGAUGUCUUGCUUUCCCCGUACACAAUAAUACAACAGGACACCUGAUAAGAUACUCGGCCAACCCGGAAGACUCAAAGACGAAAUGAUCAUCAAAUUUCAGCAUCGCAAUUUUACCCCUUCAGAUCUAGAUCUUAUCAAGCUUCUCUGCCCUGACAAUUGGGUUGGCUUUAGCUAUAGCCUCACGAGCAGCAUUCCGAUAAUCAAACUGGCAGUCAUGUUUGUCUGAAUAGCGAUGAGAAGCACAGAAAAGGUUACCACAUCGACAUUUGAACCCUGUUAAACCAACCCGUUUCUUGCAAGCAUUGCACCGGUUUGGACCCUCCUUUGGCUUUGCCUCAACACUCUCCCCCAGCUCUGAAAUAUAAGAUGGCUGCACGGCGAUUGGCUUUGACUCCUCCACAUUUGGUUGAAUAUUAACAGUCCCGGCAGCAAUAAGUUGUUCCAAACUGCUGCUUGAUGAUCCACCCAGAAUACUUCCUGCAGAUGAUGCAGUGAGCUUUGACUGCUCCUGUUUCAUCAGCAUAUCUUUGUGACACUUGGAGCACAUGUUCAUUGUGGCUGCACUUCCGAAGAAGCCACAAUUGUUGAUGCACAAAAUUGGGCGUUCAGGAGGAGCUUGACAUCCUGUUUCAUCAUGGUCCAUCUUCUAUCUCUCCUAACCAAUAUCAGGUAAAAACAAAAGGAUAUAGAUUAUAUUAUAACCAUGAGAUGUGUGUUUAAGUCCACCAUUCAUAUACAAAAGAAAGGUAAAUGCACACAACAAUGUAAUCAGCUAAACUUUUUACAGCUCCUGCCUAACAGAACUUGUGCAUUGAUCAUAUACUUUCAUUACAAUCUAAUAGAAGGUUUAAGGAUAUAGUGAGCUUGUUUGCUUAAAAAUUGUCAUCUGGUGGUGCCGCAGCAAUUGCUUUUCAGUUAAAUAACUGAAAUACAACUAGCAGUUUCAUUUCUUAAGGAUGUGUUCCCUUUGAAAAUCACUUCUACAACAUAGAUUCAUAAGCUUUAGAGGUAAGGUCCCAGGACAGGACAGGACAGAACAAAAAAUCUUCUUUGUGCACACUAGUAUUAAGCAUAUGCUACUAUUAAGUGAUCAUUAUAACAUUAACCAAGUAAAGGAGGACCCAUGUUAUUGGCUUGUUUCUACAAAUUAUAUCCACUAGUGAAAAUGAUAAUAAAUCUGCUUAGUGAACAUCUUUUGGUUAAGAUUCGCAUUGGAGAACGUUACAUUCUUCUAAUUUUCCCCUAACAAAUCAUCUGACAUAAAGAAAAUUCAUCUAUUUUUCAUAUAAUGCAUUGCAAAGUAAUUUAAAUUUUUUAGGAAGAUAAUUUAAAAUGGCUGGCAACGAAUUGCAGACUGGUUCCCAUGACAAAAUAUGGCAAAAACCCACCAGAUAGGGCAUCAAAUGAGUUAAUGGACAAAUCCCACUUAACCACAUCUAUUAAGCAGUUAGCUGUGACUACCUGCUAGUUCAGUUACUACACAAGGACACCAUACAAUAUCACAUUCUGUUCCAGGUGAGAAACUGUGUCGAAACACUUCAGCAAGUCUAAGAAUAUGAUAUCCAGCAUCUGAUGUUUAUAUAGCCGCGUGGACAACCACUGAUAUACAGUAUCGAAUAACACGGUCAACCACAUGCAAUUGACAUAAACAUAACAAUUAUAAAACUGACCCAGAGUUAUUAAAAUCUAUAAACCAACUAUAAUCAUCAGAAACCGAAAAAAUAGAAACCAAUCCAUACACAUAAUAUCUAAUUUUGUCCCAGAACACAAACAGAACCACUGUUGACUUAAAAUGUAACAAAAACUGUAACUUUUUGACAUGGGUCUCCUUAAACUUACAAAAUUAAGCCAAGAGACUUGCAAUUGUUUAUACAAAAAAAGUUCCGAUUAUAAACAGUGAACAAACUCAAACCUUUAUUAGUGAUUGGAAAUGAUUAUUCACUAAAACCGAUGUAAUUUAGCUCAAAACCGCAUCAUAUGUAAGCCCUGUUUUAAUAAAAAUAAAACAAACACAUAAUCAAAAAUAAAAUCAACAACUCCAUAAACAGACAAAUCAAACCAAAAUCAAAAUUCUAGAAAACAAUAAGAAAAAACAAGAGAUCAAAAACCCUAAGCCCGGGACAUACACGUACCAGAUCGCCAAGGAGAGAGAAAACAAAGCCAAACAGAGAGAGAAAUAGAAGCGUUUGGUGACUGCUACGGAGAGAGAGAGUUUUCUUUUUUUUUUUUUUUUUUUUUUAAAAGAUUGCUAACAUUUAUUUUCUCUCUCUAACAUUUCCUUUUUUAUUAUUAAAACUUUAAAAGGCAAAGGUGGUCUGUCUCUGCCAACGAACGAUCUUUUUUAUUGAUGAGAAGAUGACGUGUCUGUUUGUGACUGGAUAAGCGUGUAAGUUCCUGAAUUUCCUGUUCUGUUCUUUUAAUAGGAACUAAAUAACGAUGUUGCCAUUUUCAGAGAGAUGUUAACUUCACAGGCCUGUGGUUAUCCAGGUGUAUCAGUGCUCAUGUCAUGAAGGAUUAGGUGCGAAAGCGAACCCUGAUACUAAAUAGCAGUUUCUUUUUUGCUUUUGUUAAUGGGGAUUCCUUCUCUUCUGUUUUAUGGAUUGGCCCACUUCAUCAAUUUGGGUUUUCCCUUUACGGUCCUCAGCCCUCUCAUCUCGAUUUAUAAGCCCAUUUUGUGUCAAUUAUCAGACAUUCAUUCAAAGUAAAAUGGUCUGGGAGAAGAGAAGCAAAUAAUAAUAUAAAAUUCUAAUAAAUUAUUAUUUUUUUACCUGUUCUUUUACAAAAGUAAUUUCCAAAACUCAAAUAAUAAUAUAAAAUAGGAAUUGAAGUUAAAAAAAAUUAAAACUUUCUGUAAUUCUUUGUUGUCUCUUCUUCUAGUUGUGGACUAUCAAAUCUACAUAUAUAAUAUAUCAUGCACCUAACCUCUUUAAAUUCCCAUUUUAUGAAGUGUUUGCUUUGCUAGUCUCAAUUAAUCAUUUCCAAAGCAUAACAUCAUUAAAAAAAGGAUCAGCCAGAUAAUGAUGGUGAGCAUUUCAAUUUCUCUCCUUCUCCAUUGCAAUCUCAAACUACCCAUUUCUCUUUUACACAAAGAUGCAAUUUUUCUCUAUUUAUACUAAACAACAAAGGGAAAUAUUGUGGUUUUGCUCUAUGUUGAUCCCAACUUGGGCUCACACUUCUGUCUCUUUAUAUCCGUUCAGGCUGAGGUUUAGUUGGGUGGGUGGAUGCUUUUAUAGCUGCCACUACAUGCAUAUACCAUCUAUCUAUAAGUUUUAGUGCUUUGGCCAAGUAUUAUAUUCACUUUACACUAUAUUUCGAAAAAAUAGAAGUAAAGUAAGAUAAAAUUUUAUGAAAAUGGAAGUAAGGUUUUAGGAGGCUAGAUGGAAUUUUUAGUUUUGAAAAGAAUGUACUAUAAAUAAUUUUUUUAAAAGGUGACAUAGUUUUUUGAAAAGAUUAUAACUUCCAAACCUACCAAUUUAGUGGAUUGAGAUUUGAAACAUUUUAGAAGUUUAAAAAAAUCCUCUAAAAAUCUUACGUGUUAAUUAUUACUUCAUUCUUAAAUAAGAAUUGGAGGUCUCAAACUUUACAAAACCUUAAAAGAAACCUCCAUCCGAACUGUCAGUAUCUGGGACAAAAGAUGGUUUCAACUAUAGAUGAUUACAAUCAAAUCUUUAUGAUUUCAUCCGCUUGAUCUGGCCAUCUUAAUUAUGUCAUCCAUCUUCUUCUGAUACCAGGAAUCAGAAGAUGGCAUGUAUCUUUAGUGGGUCUAGCUGUGGAAGUCCAGUUUCCAGAAUUGCUAGGUAUGGCCCACCAACAAUAUAGAUUUAGCAGAUGCUAAAUAAAAAAACCUAAAUCUCCAGUCAUAAAGCUCUGUUCGCACCAAAAUCUAACAUAAACACGUUGUUUAAUGCAAUACUGGGGAACCCUUUAUAGCAGAAGUCGAAGCUAAGAUUGUAGCUAAUGUAGCAGUGAUGAGAAAACAACAGAAGUUCCAUGUUUGCUCGAAUGAAAAAGAUUUAGCAGUUGAAAGGUAAAAGGAUUGAUAAAAUUUUCAGUCAAGGAAGACAAGGACAUACCAACAACUUGGUGGCAAUCAUAUCCUUAGAAUCCCAAACUGCAAGUAAUGUUAGCCUUUCUAUUUUAAAAACUGCAGUUGGCACACCUGUAACUGGAAACUUUUCCUGUUUUCUUUUAUUUUGUCCGUGUCUUUUGCCUCAAAUUUCCUCUCUUCUAUAUGAAUUUAGAAUGCUACUUUCUUGCUUGAUAUAUCUUUCCUUCAAUUUUCUUUCUUUCCACUAUUCACACUUUUCUUGAGCUUUGGUAAUUCUAUGAAGUCUACUUUAGAGAAUUUCUUUCGUCUCUUUUCCUCUGUACAAGUCGAUGUUUAUUAGGGUUGCAUGAUGGAUAAAUUAAUGUAGUGUCGUCAUGAUGCCUGCAUGAGUCCUUUAUAUGAUGUCUGCCGCAGCACGCAGCCACACAGCUUUUACUGUGUCAAAUGUUGUCCCCGGCAAAUAGUUCUUAAUAUGUACAGUGGUUACGAAUCCAAUUUAAUGACGUUAUUAGCCAUUUAAUGUCUAAGUUGAUAUGUAGUGCAUUGCUUGGUUUGGCCUGCAGAUAUGGAUAGCUUUUGCUUUUGUUAACUUUCUUAAGCCUUGAGAUACUCGUGAAGGCUAGGAACAAAGAAACAUAUCCAAGAUGGAUGUCUACUGCUUCUUGUUCUUCAAUGAAAUUUAGUUUGUUAAUAUGUUGUUGAUGAUUCUAUCUAUAGCCACGUACUGAAAGAAGAUCCGUUGGGCUAAACAAACAGAAAAGUUUAAGCAGACAGCACAUCAAGAGGUCAGCCUGUCAAUAUGUGUUUAACUAUGGAACAAAAAAAAGAAUUCUUCUUUAGCUUCUGAAAAUAAUAAAAGACACUAGUAUUAACUCUGUUUGUGUGUAAUGAUUUCUACUAGCACGAGUAGUAUUUUGUAUUCAAAUAUGACAGGUUUCAUUGCUUAUUAUUGCAGAUGAAUUUUUAUUGUUAUCUCCUUCGGAAGCUCUGCAAAUGGCUGACACAACUCUUACUUGCUCUGGACUACCUCCACACAGGGAUCUCAAAGAAAGUAGGUCCAGUUUCUUUUUUCUUUUUUUUACUUUUCUUCUUUCUUCUUUCUUUUUCAAUAAUAUAUUGUACGUUAUAAAUACUGAUCUUAGAUUAAUAAAUAUUUGGACUUUAUUCCUUCCUAAUACAUAUGCAUGGAAUUGGAUAUUAAAAGAAAUAAUUAAUUAUUAUAUAAAAAUAUAUUAUUUCAAUGCCUCUACUACUGUGAUCACUUUGAUCCUGACGCAAAAUUAAAAACUAUCUCCAGUACAAUAAUUAAGUUUGAGCCGGUGAUUUGAAUCGAAUUCAAUCAGACAAUCAGGAUUUUUUUGGAUUGUUUUAAUAUAUUACAAUGGCAAUGAUGACAUUAAAAAAAAAAAAAAGUAGCGUAAGAAGCGAUUGUACAGCACAUUCAUAUUUUGCCAUAAAUGCAUACAUACACUAAUGACAUGUCAUGUCACAUUGACAUCUUCAGACAUCCCAAGACAAAACAAAAUAAUAAUAAAAUGAAAAAAUGGGUUUAUAUAAUAUAAUACUAAUAUUAAUAUUUAACUCUCAAAAUGAAAGACAGAAAGAUCGUUAAGAUUUUAUCCUAAUCUGCACUUUCUGGCUUCUGCUGCCUGUUGCUGUGCCAUUACCCUUUUCAGUCAUUUUUAUUUACAAAUCAAUUCCCAACUCUCUCUGUUUCCAAAUUCUUUUAUUUAUUUUCUUUUUCUAUAAACUGAUUGAAUAAUUUUAAUGUUUUAGAAAUAACAAAAUUUAUAAGUCCUGUAAGAUUUAUGAUCUCAAAUUGCAUUAUCUAAACAUAGCCAAAUUAAAGUAAAAGUGCUUUCUUUCUCUGUUCAGUCAAAAUUAAAAGGCUAAAACAUAUUCCAGAGCACUGACAGACCCAUAUUCACUAGUAAUUAUCCAUCCAUUCCAUGGAAAAGAAGAAACAGAAGAAAUAAAGACCCUUGUCCAUGUAAAGUCUCUCCAUUAAAUGAUGAAUCUCUGAGAAGUUGCAAUACAAGAAUCAUAUCCACAGACCCUACAAAAAUUCUCGGUCUCUUUCUCUUUUCUUCCUUAUUUCUGUUUCUAAAGUUGAUGGGAGCCUUCAAUGCGUAUGUUUCAAGCAAACUCAGAUGAAGAAGAGGUAACUGUUAAAAGACCCAUUUUCGCUUUUGCUUUCCUUUCAACUCUGAGUUGCCCAAAAUCAUAGAAAAGAAGGAAAUUGCUUUUAUCAAAAAAAAAAAAAAAAAGAACCUGGCUUUGUAUUUGUUUUGGCUUUUCCUUUUUCUCUACUUGCUUUUCUUUUUACCGAUUUCCUCUGUUACUGAACAAGAGAUGCUUUUGGUUUUCCUUAUGUUAUGUAAAGAAGCAUAGAUUGAGUUAACAAUGAAUGCUUUCAAUAAACAUGGUAUAGCGCAUUUGGAUUAUUAUUAAAUUGUGUUAGAAUAAAAUCCACGCUUUAGGUUAAUCCAUGUUUUCUUUUUGCAGCUUAAUGAAUCAGUUUGAAUCAAGAAAAGGGUAAACACAGCUAUACUAGCGAGGAGAUGGAGCAAAGAGUAUGUUCUACGUUGUACUUCUAAUCUUAUCUUGAUUUUGUUUCUUUUUUCGUUCGAAAUUUUAAUUCUUAUUCAAGUUCCGUAAUGGUUGUCUAGUGUGAUGAGCAAGGAAAUAGUGGGGAAGGUCAGAAUUCCCUUUUACCUUCUGAUGAGAACAGAGCCAGAAAUGGCAAUAUAAGCGAGCACAUUAGUCAGUUACCAGAAGAUGUUCUCUUGAACAUAUUGUCUAGAUUGACAAUGAAAGAAGCAGCACGUACCUCCAUCCUCUCCACGAGAUGGAGACAUUUGUGGACAUAUUACACUGGUAUUAUGGACUUUGAUGCUUCACUUACAAUGUGGUACUUGCAGCUAGGUUUAGGAAGCAAGUCACUUGACAUGGAAAGACAUAGUUUUGUCAGUUGGGUAAAUCAGGUUCUAAGAUCACAUGAAGGUCCAACUAUGGAGGGAUUAAGAAUUUGUUUUGAUUUGGACUCUGAUUUUAUGUACGAGAUUGAUAGUUGGAUUACUAUUGCAAUGCAAAAGAGAGUUAAAAGACUAGAGAUAGACCUGACAAAUAUCGAGCCAAGUAUCAAAACUACAGGGUCAUAUGCCUUCCCAUCAGGUUUGCUUAAUGAUUCAAGCUUUAGCUCUCUAAAGACCCUGCAGUUGAAUAUGGUCGAUGUGACUGGAGAAGCUCUUCAGCACUUGCUACUGUCCUGGUGUCCAUUACUUGAGGUGUUAAGCAUAGUAAAUUCAACAAGUCUUGUGAGUCUUAAAGUUUCUGGUUCAUCACUCAAACUAAAGUACUUGGAAAUGGUGUGUUGCAACAACUUGAAAUAUCUUGAGAUUACUGCAGCAAGUCUUGUGUCUUUUAAGUAUUAUGGACCAUUGAUAGGUCUUCCUUUUAAGAGUGUGCCUAAUCUUGUUGAUGCUUCCUUUGGAGGACCAUUUUGUCAAUUGACAAUCGAGAAUCUCUACCAGUUUUCCCUCUAUAUAUUGCAACUAGAGACGCUGAGAUUCGAUGUUGGAAGUGCUUAUGUGAGUAUGAUGGGGAUUUUCAAUUUAAUUUAUUUUCAUUUCCUGUGUUUAAGAAUCUUAUCAGUUGUGUUUCAAUGUUCAAAUUGAUUCAGUUAAUGCGCGAGUUCCCCACAAAUUUUCCCAUAUUGAGUAAUGUCAAGCAUUUGGAAGUGACAACCGCAGUGUCUGCUGUUGCACAUUGCCUCUUUCCUUGCCUCUCCCUGCUUAAAGGAUGUCCUUUGCUCCAUAGGUUUACGCUUAAGGUGGUUAUACCUCCCUAUCAAAUUACAGACUGUUUAGUAUUUUGAGAAUUUUAUGGUCUUUCUUAUUCAUUGUGGAACUAUCAACAUUUCCGUUUGAGUCGAUGACAAAAUCUCUUCUCACCAGGUGGAUCAGUUGUGCAAACUAAAAAGUUUUUAAUUCUUUCCCAUUCUGUAGAUAUCAUGUGAAAGCACUUUGGUAUGUAGAGCCUCUCAGAAAGUCCCAGAGGAUCAUAGUCAUCCGUGCCUCAAGGUAGUGGAAGUUCUUGGCUUUCAAGGGAAUGCUGCAGAAGUGGAGCUUGUCCUAUACUUUCUCAGGAAUGCUGCAGUGCUCAAGAACUUAAUUAUCAGUCCUUGUGCGCCAUGUUAUCUAAGAAGCCCGUCGCAAUUGAAAUUCAAGGAAACCGAGCUGUAUCAAUCUGCCAAGCAACAUGCGGUAGAACUAGGAGCAAGGGUACCUCCAGGAGUUGACUUUGUGGUGCUUUGAUAAAAAAUUGUUCUAAUGAUAUUUUCUGCAGAUUUUUUAAGAGAGUUAUGUAAGAAAUGCUGCUUUAACAUUUUAAUGGUAGUCUUCUACAUUUUCCCCUACACUCUUAGCACGGGGAAGAAGUGGACAUUAUACGCCCCCAAAAUAAAGAGUUUAGUCUUCGAAUAAUGAGAAAUUUUUAGGUAUGUUCUAUGAGCAAUUCCAAAUUUUCAAUGUGAACAAUGACGAAUUGCUUAUAUAUGGGUAUAACUUUAUUGUAUUACUCUAUGCUAGAAGUGGAGGCCUACGAAUAAUUGCUCUUUAAGAUUAGGUAGGAACUCUUUGUUAGACUUGCAUUGACAUUGAGUGACGUAAAUGGCUCCAAAUAGAAUAUGAAUGGCCAUAAUGUAACUCUUUGCCAGUGUUACAAGACCCAUGUGGGCUCUUGUUAAAAUGGCUAUAAUAUGAAACAAAGGAAGAUGAUUAGUAGAUAUGACCCACCUGUUGACCACCAGAUAGCGGGUAGUUCUCUUUCAAACCGAAUUAGGCAAGGUUAAUUACGAAGGGCAAUCAUCUAUAGUGAAUCUUCAUCUCCAUAGCCAUUGAUGUAGAGCUCCUUCAUCAACAGACGUCUUUUAGACAUCCCAGAAAUCAUGUGACGAAUUUGAAAUCAUUUGAUACUAUGGUAAGAUUCAUGCAUUUGAAUUAGCAGUAGUUUCCUGUUGACUUUCUAAAUUCGACAAUGAAGGUUCACAUCCUCCAACAAUAUGUAAAUCUACACAAGAGAGAGAAAAGGUACCAUCCAAAAGCCAACCUCCGCUUGAACUUAAUGGCAGUCAAACCAUGGACACAUUGGACCAAGGAAAAUGGCUCAUACUGCGCCCAGUUUAGUCCCAUUUCUAUUGACAUAUCCAGAGCAGUGCAGCACAGUACCAUGCAGAAUUUCUCACAGGUAAGAGCUAUGAGAUAAUUGCAGAUAUGGCUAAAAUUCUAUCCUACUAUAUAGUCUAGCACAUAUAUUUUUUCUAGCUUCGUCCCAUCUAAGUUUUAGACAACUAAUUCUCCACCCAACGAAAAAGAACUGUACAAGGCAAACACUGAUGACCACCUCAAUCUGCUUCCCGUCUGAAUUGGAAUAGCCAAAACCUCAGUGGCUACCCUACUUCUCAACUUCCUGGGUAUACUUAGCGCCUUCCUAACUUUAAGAAAAUGUAUAAAUUUGGGGCUAAAAACAAUUCAGAGGGGAGCAAUCCUACUCUGCUGCAAAGCACUUCAAAAAUGAUUUUUCCAUGUAAACACACAAAACAUCGUGUAGAUAACUAAUCAUGCAUAUUAUGGAAACGCAGCCAUCUGUAUUAAUCCCAAGUUCAGGUGCCAAUAACUGCAGGGUUUACAACAUUCCAUGCUUUUUCAGCUGUUUAACUGAAUCCUACCUCUGAGUGCUUUUCCAGGGCGGGCAGUUCUGAGUUGCCACCUCCAGAUCUCAUCAACAAUUAUGCAUUGAUAAGGAAAGACGAUGUUUUGAUAGAUUCACAGAGAGAAAGCAACAUAUACAAAUAAGAGGCAAACGAGGGGAUAUGAUCUCAUCUUGUAGGAGUACUAUAGGCAAUUGCAAUAUGAAACUCAAAAGUUCAAUAGAAAUUUGUCAUACGAACCAAAACAAAUGGCUGAUUAAGAAUAUAAUAUGUGAAGCAUCAAUGAAUAAUGCCUAUUCCCUAAAUCUAACCAUGUGCUCUCGGUUCAUUUGCAAUCUCCAAACAUAGUUUCACUUUCUAUCAAUGAAGAGAUAGUUGUUCUGAUCUGUUAAUACCAUGUUUCUGUCUUUUGAUAAAAGAAAAACAAGUCAAUUCAUGGAUAUGGAGCAGCAUGAGUGAGUGGCAAAACAUCAACAAGAAGAAAAAGAUAAAGUUCAUAUUUGAACCUCUUCCUGAGUAGGCAAGAAACACGCAAUUUACUCCAUCUGAGAAUUUUAUGAAAUAGAAACCCACCUGUCCUUUAUCAUUCUAUUCCUCUAAUAAAUUUUCUCAAUCAAACAAAUAUUCCAAAAUUAAAAUAAUUUCCAUCUCAUAACGUUGCAAAACAACAAACCACCUAGUAAAAUUCUUCAAUCUAUCCUCAUAUUCAUUGGUGGCAUUAUUCAUUACUCAGUUAACUAGAAUGAAUGUGCAAUUACAACAUCAAGUAAUCCAAUUCUCUCUCUCUCAAGACUAAAUGUAGCCUGACUUGAACAAUUAUGAGCACAAACUCUCACUUCAAUGUGUAUAAUAAAAACCAAAUAUUACUACAUUACCAAAAAAGAUCAAAAUUUCACCAAUUAAUCCACCAGCUUUCAACUAUAGCAUAUAUCCAAAAAAUUAGAAUGGUAGCAUACCAUUACUACGGGUUAGUCGACUUUGGCUUCAGUUCCUUCAGCAGCAGCUUCAGCCAACAGCUUCUUAUUCUUCUCAAUAGCAUCAGCAACUUCUUUAGGCAUAUACUUCUCAUCAUGCUUAGCCAAAACCUCCGUAGCCUUGAAAAAACACUCACCACUUCUGGCUUUCCCUGAAACACUAUUAGCAUUUCCAUCCUUCUUUAAUUCCUCUGUUAAAGGCUUCACAAACCCUUCUACGACAACAGAAUGGCCUUCUCUAAACAAGUCUGGCAACGAUCCUUGAUACCUUACCAAAAUAUCAGUCACUAAAUCUGUUAUAACAAACUCCAUUUCAGGUGAUGUAGCAGGUUGUGCUACACUCCCUUCAAGAACCAACCCACCUAAUCUAAACUUGUUUUUUUCUGGGUUUGUUUUGUAUUUUUCCAUAGCGUCUGUUGGGGUUAUGUAAAACACCAUCUGAUCUUGGAAAUUGUUUAUUACAAUUACUAUGAAACCUGCUAUGCAACUGAAUGUUAAUGCGUAGGUCCAGAGUCUUCGGGUUUGGAGUUGACGAGCUCGGGCUCCGAUAUCUAUUUUAGAUCGGGUCGGGUUGCGGCGAGCUGUGGAGAAGAAACGUAAGCUAGAGAUCGUAGUGAGAUCUGAAACUGGAGACAGAAUUAACGGAUUUGAACUUUUGAUUGUCGCGGAGAGGAUUGGGGAACCAUAUUCGAAUAAUCUGGUGGUUUUCGUGCGGAGGAGGUGGGAUCUGAGGCGGUGAAGAGAGAAACGAAAGGCCAUCCUUUUGUGUUUGUUUUGUUUGUUUCUCGAAAAAGUGAGCGAAAAUUUUCGAGUAGAAGUCGGAAAAGUAGUUGGCCGGUAGGGGUUUUUGUAUUUGGGGUUUUUGUGAAAGAAAGGGAAAGACUAAGGCGGCUAAUUGAAGUUUCGAGCGAAAAGACCAUCGAAAUCGUUUCCGUUUACCAAUUAUAAAACGAUGUCGUUACAUUCUCGUUACCAAUCACGUCAUCACCGUUCAUGCCACAAUCUCACAUCACUGCCACUCUGCCAGGCAUGAUGUAUCUUCGUUCAGCCUUACAAUAAAUAGACAAAAUCCAUCAUAGUUUACUUCAUUUAGACUCUAAUCCUCAAUUGAAUUUUAGUUAAUUCUUGUACAUUCAUUUUUUAUUUUAUUCUAUUCGUUUUGUAUAUCAAAUAACAAAAGUGUUACUUAAUUUCUAUUCAAAUAAAUUUUAAAAAAAUAAAUUAUAUUAAUAAAAGAUGACGAUGUGGCAAGAGAUCAGAAGGGAACGACUGAGAAUUGGGCUACAAUGAUGCCAACUAGAAACAACUGCAUCAAUUAGGUGGAAAGACACAAGACCUAGGUGCAUCAACAGGGGAACAACUGCGAACUACCGCUUCAAAAAAAAGGUUCAUCAUUUUUUUUUGUUAUCCAAUAGCUAGACUGAAUCAAGCUGAUAAUUGGCAAGGUCCCACAUAGUUGACAUAAUAACUUUUCUCUUGCUUACGGAGCGUUUGGCGGUAUCGUAUAUAAUAUCACUCGCUACUUUGAGAACAGUGAAAGCAAAAUCCUAUUAAGAAUAAGGCUUUAUCUCGUUCCUUCCCACGUCCCAUGGUAGGCUAAACCGGAAAGAGAGAGCAAUUGUCACCUUCAAGCUCUAAGUCAAGAAGUCAAGCAGCAAAGACCGCUACUAAUAAGAUAAAAAAGAGCUACCUUUUUCUCACCCUUGGUGAACUCCCUUUAAAGACAGAAGCGCAUCCAACCCCAUUCUUUUGGCAGCAAGUCAGAUUCCCUUAUACGAGGAUAUCCUAGAAUGUGGCACUGACUUUUAGGACAGUCGGUUUUUAUUGCUUACAUGGUCAAGGAAUAGAUGGGCCUUGAACUGGGAACUCCAAACAAAAUCGAUGAUUCUAGGUUGGGCCACUAAAUAAAGAGUUUUGAUAGUGCCGAUUACAGUAUAGAGUUUUGAUCUGAACGACAACUAAAACUGCAACGAUUGUGAUGCCAUCAUUGGCGGCGACAAUGACACAAACUAUUAUUAUUGUUGUUGUUAUGGAUGAGCUUGGUUAUUCCACCAUUGAGAAACCAAAAAUACUAGCAAUAAGACAGAGAGAUUGAGUAUUGAAGGCAACGCAUGUAAAUAGAAAACAAGAGAUUCAACCAUUGUGUGAACCGCUGGGAAACGCGACAAGGAUGAUAGAGGCAAGUUCUUUUCGGCGGAAAUCUUGGCAUCGAGUGAGGUGGAGCAUUUCUGGUGAGGGGCUUCAGAUUCUCAAAUGUAUGUUACAUGAAUAAUCACUUAAAAUUGAUUUGAGCAUUUCUUUUUUAUCCUUGUGGAACAAAACUAGUCAAUAAUGAUAUAUAGCUACACGAGUUUAUCUGUACAUAAAUUGAGCCGGAAACACCUAUUAUCAUUGUUGGUUUAUUUAGUUUUCAAGCAAAUGGAAAUAUAGAUGAUACAAUUUGAGAGGUCAAACAAUUGUUGUUGCAAAUUGCUCAUGAGUUCUUUUCACCGAUAUCUUUAACAUCGAGUGGAAUAAUGGAAGUUCGCUUACCAGAGUUGAGGUUUGUGUGUUUUUUGUGUGAUUAUUCCAUGUUACAUGCAUUAUGUCAACGGUGACAUUCUAGGGCUGAAAUUUAUAGGAAUUGCAGGCUUUUCUCCGAAGGAGUUGAAAGAAAAUGUAAGCUGAAUUUUUAUAAGUUUGUUAUUUUUUGUAAGUGUGGUUAUUAUUUAAUUGUUGUUGUCAUCUUGUAUGCAUUGGAGAAAUUCAAAUUUAGGAUAACCAAUCCUAUUGAUUUCAUACAUUUGUUCUAUUGUUGUUGGAUAGGUGUAAUGACUAUGUUGGAUAAGUAUAGCCAUAAUGAUGGCUCAUGUGGGUUUUUUCUAAUAAUACAAUGAUAUAAUUUUAUUUUAAGAAAUUAAGUGGCAAAUAUUAAGUGUCACAUACGCAAGUUACGAUGAAUUAAUACAUACCCAAAAAAAUAAUAAAAUAAAAAAAAUAUACAGGAUUAAGUAAAAUUUAAUUAAUAAUUAGGAACUAAAUGAACCAAAGUCGAAAAACAUAGAGAUAAAAUGAUGGAUCUUGCCUAAUAAAUACGUGGCAUUUAACACAUCGUCUACCACUUCAUCAAAACAAUUCCCAUAUAAAAAUGCCAAUUGAGUUAAAGUUAACUACCCGGCAUGACGUGUCAGCUACAUUAAACCACUAGCAAUAUAAAUUAUUACCAUAAAUUAUAUCUUUUGUAUUUAAGUAAAAGAUCGAUAUAUAAAAAACAAUAAUAAAAAAAUAUAUAUUGCCAAAACUAAUAAAAAUAAAUAUUAUUUAUUUUUUUAUAUAUUAAAUCUUUAUUAUAUUGUCAUCUUAUUCUUUAAAUUUAUCAUAUAAAUUCUUUUUAGAAGUAAAACUAAAAAUUUAUUAAUUUAUAUAACGGAUAAAUAGUUAUGUUGAUAUUACACUUUUAGAUUAUAUUUUUAAUUUGUAUUAAUAUUUUAAUCUUUUUUAUUUUGAUACCAAAAAUUUUAAUUUUCACUACAGAUAAUUUUUUACUGUGCUUAUUAAUUUUAUUUCAAUUAAUGAUACUUAUAGGAAUUUUAGUGAUUUUUACUGAUGUAUUAAUUAGAGUCAUAUAUAAGUAAAUAUUUGGCUAUCACGUCAACAAAAAAAUCAAUGAAUGUCACUAAGUGUGUAAAGUAACAACACUAUGAUACGUUUUAAAUAUGAGCUUAAAGAAUAGUAUUAGCAUUAAUCUUUUAUUGGUGUUUUAGGUGGAUAUUUAUAAAAAAAAUACUAAUUAUUUCUAUAUCAAGAGAAAGUGGAUUUCAGUUUUUUAGAAAUAGUAUUUAUUGAAUAUGUUAGUGAUUUACGAUCAAGUAUUGGUGAGUUAUUAACUCACCUGAAAUUCACCUUUAGAUGAGUCUCUGUUAUGUACCAUCCAUCAAAACAAAAUUAAUGAAUAUGACACUAGAAAAAUAAAUUGAAUAAAUUAAUACUAUUUAAAUACAAAUAGCAAAAUUUUAAUACUAACAUAGCAAUUUAUCAAAGCCAACCAUAGCGGUAAAUAAAAUAUAAAUGUGAAAACUCUGCUUUAUAUAUCAUCAAACAUUGAAUACAUUUUUAAGGAGUACGGUCAUUUGUGAUAAAAAUUAAAGUUUUAGUAUUAAAAAAAGUUAAUACAUUCAUACUAAUUGAAAAUAUAAACCAAAUUUUUGGUAACAGUUACCCCGGAUAUAACACUGAUCCAUAACUUUUUGUAAACUAAUCUUUAACAGAAUGUGAGAGAUAUUAACUUUAAAACUCAAGCUUUUAAUGUAAAUUUAAGUUUCAAGUCGUUUUUUUCUCUGUAAUGUUUUAGCAAGCAAUUUAGUUGGAAAAGCUGUUACAAUAUAUAAUUUUUCAGGAUUCCCACUCGAACAACAAAACUAGGCGGCUCAAUCUUUUUCUUUUUUCACAAAAAAUAUAGAGCUGUUAGGAACGAGAGCAGACAAAAGCAAGGAGGCCCUGAACGAUAGCUUCAAUUUCCCAAGGACAGUCCUGAAGGGAAUUGAUAGCUCUAAACAAAAUCAAAGAGUCAGCAGGGGAGUUCACGGGGACCACCGAGUAAGCAGCAUAAAAAAGAGCCACAGCUUUAGCAAAAAGAGGAGAGGCCGGUAUAAUAAAACAAGAGGAUCCAUCCACUAAAGCUCCAAGAGAAUUCUUGCAAACCACCGCUGCAACAGCUUCACUAAUAUCUGGAUUAUAAGCGGCAUCAGAAUUAAACUUUAGAACACUUUUGAGGGGGAAGGCACCACCUCACUGGCCUAUGAUUUGUCGUAGUGGGGCUUCCUCCCAGAGCUUGUCGGUUCUGGGCUGCAUUCAUUAAGUCCGUAAUUAGUUGCUUAGCUCUGCAAAUAAAGAAUAAAGGGUCACAGCUUUUUCCUUCAAUAAUGGCAGCAUUCUUGCUCUUCCAGAUGCUCCAACAUAGGCAACGAGUUAAUAAAGAAUCAGAAGAUUACUGACCUCUAUAUGAAAUAAUAUCCUGUCACAAAUUAGAGAAAGAAGUUAAACCCAUGCCAUUGGGAGAAUAGCUUAAAUUGGAAGCUAGGCAGGUAGCCCUAGAAUGAUCACGGAAAAACAAGAGAUGCUAUAUGGACUCCUCCUCCCUGAUACAAAUAGGACAGAUGGGUUAAAAAACCAAGCUCCCUGCUGAAAAGAUUAACUUUAGUAGCAACGAAGCUGCGAAAUAAUUUAAGUUUAGGAGAGAGGUUAGAGUGCGAAUCAGAUCUCCAAAGACUAGAAUCCAUUGUAGCAGUUGAAGGAGACUGGGCAGGUGAUAUUCUGUCAUUCCUAUCACACAAGAGGUCGCAUAAGCUUAUGGGCAUCAAUAUUCACGCAGGUAUUUUUACCACCUGAUGGUAAUUGGCAACUUGUUUAGUUUUUAUUGAACCACGAUAACUUGCCACGUCAUUAACUGAGCCAGGUGGCACCUUGUGGUUUGGUUUGUUCCACGGGUGAAAGUCGCCGGCAAGUCAUGGAAAUUGGAUUUCGGGUCAAGUAACAUGGACAUGGAGUUGGGAAUAUAUUUGACCCAAUAGCUGAGGCGAUUGAAUGAGAAAGCCAGUUGGAAUUGGAACAGCUUCGUCUUCAUCUUCAUCGUCUGAUGCUACCAAAAAGUAAUUAUAUAAAAGAACAGUAGAUAACAAUGGAAAGUUAGGUAUAAGAUAGUAGAGGAAGUAAAGUCAUCCCAAAAACCCAAAACCCAGUUUUGGCCAAUUCAUUUCUUAAACUUCCCUAUUAAAACCAUCAUUUAUUUGUUUAGUGAAGCACAGCCCUAUAUCUUUCAAUUUGUACCCUUUCUGACGCUAUUGAUAUCUUGAGCUUACAUAUGGAUUCUCAAGUGGUGGUAGCACUUGCUCUUUCUCUUGUUGGUGGAUUAAGCACUUCUAUAGGUCUGUUACAAACCCUUACUUCUUUUCUUUUUAUUGAAGUUAAAAGUUGGUCGUUGAAUUAGAUUAAAACUAAAAGCUAAAUUUGGUUGGCUCCUCAUGUAGUUUCCUUGUUCUUUAACUGCACUCCGCACUCACCACUGGUAUUAUGCUUCAUUUAUAUAUUCAUUUCAAUAUGCUUCUCUGUCUUUCUCGUUUGUGGACUGGAUUUUUGUUUGAGAGGAUUCAUAGAUUGCAUUUUUGACUCUGUAUUAUGAGUUCAUACCAAAAAGAAAAAGCAAGUGGUACAUAUCACUUCCUUAUUGUAGUCUAUAACGUUCUUAACGUAUAAGCCUAUAAAGUUCAUCAAUCUCAAAAGUUCCCUGCUGUAUCCUGCAAAACUUAUCUGUUUAUGUCUCUCACUUUUGGGUGGUUUUAGUACUUCAGUUGGUAGUUUAGUUUACCGUAUUUUUUACUUCAGCAAUCAGCUUUAUGGUCGAGGAAAAUAUCUCUAUAUUUUAGGUUCGAAAUAUGUUAUUAACUUUUGUUUUGGGCAUUGCUGAGUACUUUUCUAUUUUGAGUUUGCUUCAUGGUGCACUGAUGCUGAUUGUAUUUCUGCAUUCGGGCAUUUGCUAACUUAAAUUGCCCCAGGUUCAUUUGAGCCUAUUUCUUUUUCAUUUCUGCACUGCUAUUGUCGAUUUAAUUUCGUUAAGAAGUAAUUUGGUCAAUUUUGAUACGUGUCUGUUAGCAAGUGUCCAGGCAAGAAAUAUCAUGAUUACUAUUAGUUUCUAUGAUGGUACAAACAUAGUAAAAUUCUUUUGGUGCUUACGACAUAUUUCUGGUUGCUUGAUACUCUACAAAUGAGUGUAGGUCAAAGAUUAGAUUUUGUUCUGUAAUCUAAUAGUAAUGUUUGGGUCAUGAAACAGGUGCACUUUUUGUAAUUCUUAAUCAGGCUCCCAACUUAAAGAUGCUUGGCCUUUUACAGGUGAUUCCAAGAGGUUGAACCCUCCGCAUCUGAUCCAAAAAGCUGGUUUCUAUUUUCCUUUCUUUGUUUCUUUCUCUUGUCACUUAGUUAAAUACAAUGCCACUUAUAAAAAUAACAAAAGAUUGAACCUUGAACAGAUAUUUACUGAUGGAGUUAUUGUUUGCUUUAUGGAUCAUAGUUUCUUGCUUGCUAUAUCUUACAUAAUUUUUCUUUAGUACUGAGUUUCCUCGUCUAUCCUAGUUUAAUUGAUAAAGAGUGAUGAGAAAUUGGUCAAGGAAUUGAGUUACCAUGAUCGAUACAAACUUGAUAUCUAUCUCUGAAGAUUCUUUUCUCGUAGUAACGUUGUCUAAACCUCUUUGUGCAGGGCUUUGCUGCAGGGCUAAUGUUGAGUAUAUCAUUCCUAGAUCUGGCUCAUAAUGCUAUGAACUCAAUUGGCUUCUUGAAAGGAAACCUUUGGGUUAGCAAUAUCUCUCCAUUUUCUGAAUUCUAUCACGUUUUCUGAGAACGUUAAUUAAUUAAGUCGUUUUAAUCUCUGAAUGAUUCAGUUUUUUGGAGGUGUUCUGUUCUUUGCUAUUGUUGCAAGGUUUAUCCCAGAGCCAACCCUUAUCCCGGGUUCAGAUGUUAAAAGUAAAAAGGUUCUAAGUUAUCUUCUUCUGUAAUUCAUUAAUUUUCCAUUACUCAAACCUGAUGUUGGCUGCUCCUCUAAGUGCUGAGAUGUUAAAUAAUUCGAUUUUGAGCAGAAAAAUGGGGAUGAAGGAGGAAAGGACAUCAUGAAAAAGCAUCGUCGCCAAGUUAUGUUCAGUGGGAUUGUUACUGCCAUAGGUAUGAUUAACAUUGUCUCUGAUGAUGUUACGAUUUCACUGUGUCAAGUCCUACUCUCUUUAUUCGGAAUUCAGAGAGUUAAAAGUUGUACUGCAAGCAUAGUGAAUAUAACUUCAGAUAGUAGUGCAGGGGGCAUGUGCUUUAAGAAAACUAGUAGAUAUGGAAGAAAAAACUCACAUUGUGUAUGUAGCCUCAAUAAUGGUAGAAACAAUAUUCAGGUUGCAUUUAACCCAAUUUCUAAUUUUGAAACUCACUUGAUUUCUUUUUUAGUGAUCUAUUAAAAAAGAGUUCGUAAGUGGGUCUAAUUGGGUUUUUUUUGUUCUUUUGUCUUUUCAAUUGCAGGCAUAAGCUUGCAUAAUUUUCCAGAGGGAAUGGCAGUGUUCCUUGGGUCAAUUAAGGUGGCUUAAGCCUUCUUUAUAUUUCACCGAAAUACUGUGAGAAUUUUAUGAGAUAAUAUAAAACAGUUGAAAUAUGUUCUUAUGGAUUAAAAUUUUGCACCCUGUACUUUUCUGUAAUCUUUGAGGCAUCUUAAGUUUAAAUUCAGUCACCAAUACUUUAGUUUAGCAGUUUGUAAACCAUUUUCAGUUGUGUUAGUCACUUUCUCUCCAAUGAAUUUUUUUGAUCCAAGAUUGAUGUCCUGAAGAUCAAAAAGCUAAGCCAUUGAUAUUGGGGUUUAAUGUUAUGGUCUCCUAUAUGCUAUGAUAUUGCAUUAGAAAUUUUAUGACAUCAAGAAGCUGUUCAUUAGAAAUUUUAAUGUGAUGGAAAGCUUUUCGUUUCAAAUGCUGAAAGGACUAUAUUUAUUUGUUUUCUGGCAACCAGUAUGGUCUUUUAGCCUACUACUAUCAAGUAUUUAAUUUUUUGUGUCACAAGUGCCUUUUUAUCAACCACAAGUUACCCAAAAUACUCAAUAUGCCUAAAAGCUGUGCAACUGAUGUCACAUAGUUUCUAGUGGAUAUUAAACUCUAACGUGCACUAACUUAUAAUUUAUAUGCAAUUGGCAACUGGUAGUUGAUGGUGACUGUUGUGAACUUCAGGUCUUAAGACCCAGCAACACUAAUACUUACUCUUAUGCAACUAAAUUGUGCUGUUUGAUCUUUUUGUAGGGACUACGUGUUGGUCUUAAUUUGGCUUUGGCCAUUGCCUUGCACAACAUUCCAGAGGUAUGGUAACCCAGAUCCUUGGUAUGGCUUAUUUUUUUUCAUCAGAAUGGGGUGUUGGCCUCCCUUAAAAAUAUUGAAUUCUUUCUAUACUCUGUUCAGAGUUGAGUUAAGAAGAGUCAGCUUAUAAUACUUGGUUCCCUCCUAAGUUUAAAUAGAACUUCUGUGGCACUGCUCUGAUAACUUCAGUUCUAGCUCCGAUGUUUUCUCUCCUGGUUUCUUCCAGGUUAGAUGGAGCUUAAACAAUAUCUGAAGGAAAACUAUAUGUUGCAUUACACGUUCUCCGCAAAUAUUUCUUUUCUUCUUAAUGCUUGUUCUAGUGGUAAUACGCCUGCUUAUAAUAUUCAUAACUUGUUCUUGGCAUUUACCUUCAAGGCAGGCCCAUAACCUGAUAGAUUAGUCUGAUAUUGCAUUUCUUUUGUCAUCUCUGGCAGAUAGAAGGUCAUUGUAAUCUUGUUGUGCUUCAAGGCAGUGAUCUUGCACCGGAUCAUGACUUUUGAACAUUGAAAAAUAUCUAAGUAUUAGUUCAUAGUCUCAACAAAAUCAGAGAUGUAACUAGUUUAUUUUGUUUUUGUUUUCCUUCUGUUUUUUUUUGUUUGAAGACAGGAAUGUGCCUAGUUAAUAUGUAAUCAGUCAGUACUUUGACUGCUUUUGCAUAGACAAGUAGUCUUCUGAUAAAUAAAUAACUAAAAUAGUGAAAAUUUUACAUUUUAUUUCACUAACAUGUUUGUGUGCAUUUUCGCAGGGGGUUGCUGUUGCACUGCCUGUUUAUUUUGCAACAGAAAGGUAAGAAUUGUGGAGGGACUUUUAGUCUUGAUGAAAAGCAUGUUUCAUGUUAUAGUACACAGACAAUUAAAGUGUUGGUUUAUGCACAUAUCUCAGCAAGUGGCAAGCUUUUAAAUUAGCAACUCUGUCUGGUCUUGCCGAACCACUUGGUGUUGUGCUUGUAGGUAUGUCAGACUACUCUAUUGUGCUUAAUACUAAAGCUUGGAAUGUAUUUGUAUUCUGUACAUUGAGAAUAUAUUUUCCCUUCACUGCAGCAUAUCUAUUCCCAAGCAGCUUAAGUCCUGAAAUCCUCGAGGGCCUGCUGGGAUCAGGUUUGACUACUAUUUUGUUCCUCACAUUUCAACUGAUUAGAGAAAAUUAAUUUACGGUUAAUAUUUCUCUCUACUAAUUUACUUCGGCAGUUGGUGGUGUGAUGGCUUUCCUGACCUUGCAUGAGAUGCUGCCAUUGGCUUUUGAUUAUGCGGGGCAGAAGCAGGCUGUUAAGGCUGUAUUCCUUGGCAUGGCAUUCAUGUCCGCAAGGUACUUGAAAUUCUUUUUAACUUUGGUGCGGUUUGAAGAACCAAUUACAAAGCUUGUGUAUUGUUUGAAUGAAAUUAGUGCAGCUCCUUGCCUGCUGGGUUCAUUAGAAAAAACUGGCUACUCUUCAAAAUUCCCAACCUCAAAAACUGGUUCAUUAGAAAGAUUAAUGGACAACUUAAUGAAUCGUGCUUGUUCUUUAUAUUUGUUUCUCCGUUUUCCUAACUGCUUUCAGAAAGUAAAAAUGGUUAAUUAUUCUAAAAGUUUUCCCGUAUUUUCAUAAAAGAUUUGAAAAUAAAUCUAGAAUAGAUUUUAUGGUUGUAUACUGUAGAGCUAGAGCUAUUACAUCAGGAAAUUUAUGCAACUCAAGACUGUUUUAUUCAUCUUUUCCUUGUUCUUUGUUCAAUGCCUCUAGUAGAGGCCCUCUGCUGCUACAUCUCACAUGUAUGCUUGUGCUGGUUCUGCAGCCUUUACUUUCUUGAAAUCAGCUUACCAGAGGAUAUAAGUUUGUAGCCAUGGAUCAACCACAAUGUUGUACAUUCCAAAACCAUAGUACUUAACAAGGGGCCGCUCUCGUUAUACAGAAGCGAAAUCUUGUAAUUUGAUCUCCUUCGCAAGGUCCAUAAGGCAGGGGUAUCCUAAAGGGUAAAGUAUGAUUGUAUUUCUUUUUUUCUAAAUCAUUGAAUGCUCACCAAUUUACUUAAUUUCCUGUAAGAGGAAAAUGUAAAGGGGAUAGGGAGGAGGUGAAGAAAAGGGGGAAAAAAAUUAUAUUGGAUCUCAUCAUCUUGAAUGAACUCGAUUAUCAUUUACUUUUUCCGAAUUGCUGAUGAAUCAGUCUCGCACUUAUUUUCUAUAUUUGUUCAUAGAUUAUAUUUGUGCUGCUUGGAAGCUACAGCUGCAAGGAGCUUUUCCUUGUUCGGAAAAGCCGUUUGUCGGGCCUAAGCCAAGAUGCUCUAUGAUCAAACAAAUACUAAUCAAUAGUUCACAUAUUAAGCAUGUAUGGCUAAUUUUUUCAUAAAAGUAAAAUGGAAGAAAAAAAAAAAGAGAAAAGAAAUAGACAAGUUAUCCUGGUACGAUUACUGGGUGGAGAGUUGAGUUGAGACUUUCUUUAUGUGCAACUCGGGCCAUUCAUUCGUCUUCACACCUAUCUUGGUAUAACUAUUAUUUCUUGGUUACCACCACCUUAUCUUUCUCCUGCAAUGGUGUGCGGACAAGUGAAAACGUUAAUUGAAAAGACAUUUAAAAAGGAAACAAAGACAGGAGAAAGAUCACAGAGACUACUGGUUGGUAUUUCAGACAGUAACUUUUGGUAUCCCACUCAAGAUGCAUGACAUGCAGUGUAAUAACCUUUAGAAUCCAGUACCUGUAACUAACAUGGGUUUCGAAAUUUUGUUGAAAGUGUGUUUCUGUUUCUGGGGAAGGGAGAGAAAGGGGAGUUGAGUUCAUUCAUCAAAACUCCUUCAUUUUUCUUUUCUUCUUUCUUUUUUUAAGAAAAAAAAAAAAAGAUUAUUACGAUUAUGACCAUCAAUACAGAUCAUGGGAAAUGGAAAAAAAAAAACUAUAUAAAAUAUAAACAAAUGACAAGGGAAACAAAGAUCUCAUCAAGAGAUUCAUGGGAUUAAAGGUGUCUAGUCCUAUCUUGUCCUCAUAUAGGAAAAGAGGUGGGCUUUUGAUUGGAUAUGUCAAAGUUGAAGGGAGGGGAAGGGAAGGGAAGGGAAAGUGGGGGUAAUUAGAGGGAGAAAAAGAGAGCUAUGCUGCACUUAAAAGUAAAAGAUAAGAAAAAAGUGUUUCAUCAACUAAAGGAGAAAGAAAGAAAGGAAGGAAAAACAAAGUUUCAUUCAAUGCUUUAUUGGGAAGAGGAGCAACUAAAUCUCUUAUUUUUUAUUGAAUGUACUCUCUAUAAAAGUUAACAUGUACAAACUACCCCGCAGUAAAAAAACUGUAAGAUCUUCAUCCAUUAUUCUGUACCCUUUAUUUGUUUGGAAAGAGAGAAAACAAAUGAAAAUAAAAGAGGAAAACAAGAAAAGAAAGUAACAUUUCCUUGUCUGGAAAAGGAGAAAGAUUUCUAUAUUUAUUCCCCAUUUUGGGAGAAAAUUAUUAAUAAAAAGGGAGUGAAGUAAAAUUAAUUUCCAUUAUCCUAUUUGUUCAAUUAGUAUUCUUAACUGUAUUUCUAAUUCAUUCAGAUAGAUUUUUAAAAAACUUAAAAUAGAAAAAUGGCAGUUUAGUUUUUUUUUUUUUUUUUUUUUAUAAAUAAUUUUGAUUUAAAUGACCCGAAAUAAAAUUAUUAUUUAUUAAUUAGUUUUUAAAAUAUAAUAAAAAUUAAUAUUUUAUAGAAUAUCUUAUGUCAUUUAACUAAUUUAUAGUGACAUAAAUCAUUUUAUUAGUAGGUAUGUAAAAUACUAUUCUGUUUCAAAAAGAAAUACUCUUAAAAUGUAAAAAUAUUUAUCAAAAAAAUGUUAAAAUAAAUCUUAAAGAAGGAAAAACUAAAUUGAGUUAAAUCAAAUUUGUUCAAUUAACCUCUACUUUUUUGGUUUGGAUGGAUUUGUUUAUGAGUGACUUGGUUUCUAAUUUGUCUGUUCAGUUUGAUUCUAAGUUAUGUUUGUUUACCCCUGGAUAGAUUUUCUUAAAUGUAAUCAAACUUAAAGUACAAAUUCAUGAAAGAAAAGUUUGGCAAUUUGUAUUGCUUGCUGAUAAUUUCCAGAAUUUCUCAUUAUCGUCUUUGGUAUCUAAGAAAACAUAGUAGACUAUACAGGAGUUAUCAUUAAAUAAUUAGUAAUAUAUUUACUUUGAUAAUCUAAGAAAAUAUAUUGUCUUAAUUAUCAUUGAAUAAUUAGUAACAAUUUUCUUAAAUAAGAAAUUAUUUGUUUUUUAAUAUAUUAUCUGAAGGAGCCAUAAUGAUAUUAAGAAGAAGAAGAAGAAGAAUACUUGUAUGUUCUGACAUGCCCUAAUUUGACAUAUGCCCUUAAUCCCUUAUAUAUUGCCAUAGCAUUUAUUGUAUACAUAAUUUAUUCAAGUUUUCCUUUUCUUUUCACAAGAGAGAAUUAGCAUAUCUUAGUUAUCUAGUUUUAUUCUAUAGAAAAUUAACUCUAUAGAAGAUAGAAAAAGGUCUUCAAAUUAAAACCUCAAGCUUCAAUUGAAAAAAUCCUUACUAACUCAGCUAGAAUUGGUAGUCAAGGUUAAUACUAUAUGAACUUAUGAAGGGAAAUUGACUUAAAUUCUAGUCUUCUUCUCUAUCACUGCACUCCAGAAUCUUGAUAUCUUUCUUCAAUCUCAACCUUUGUUCAUUUCCCUACAACGAAACCUCAAUUGGGGAAUCUUCGUAAACAUCCAAAGAGACACAAUGUUCAUUAAAAGACCUUUCACAAAGGCAAGAAUAUGGUAUUUGCUCGUAUAAUGACGUUAACAGAAAGAGAGGCCACACCAGUCCAAAGAAGGAUCUUUUCUAUGUUUUAAAUUUUAAAUAAAAUCAAAGAAAAAGUGUUUGUUCAAUCUUUUCUUAAAGGUCGUUUUUUUUUCUUUCUUUCUUCUUUCUUUCAAAAUCUUGACGACUUUCUUAAUGAAUUUUAAAAAGAUGAUCAUGGUGCAAGAUUUUAUGUUGCCCUUUGUUCCUUUUCCUUUUUCUUAUGGGAUUCUCUCAAACAAGAUUGUUUUCAUGCCAAUCACAAAAUCUUAAUCAAUGUAAAAAUAAAUUACAACUAUUUUAUCUAUUUUAGGAAUACAGUAAAUAUUUAUCAGUGAUAAAUAAUUAAGUACAUGGUAAUUAUUCAAUUUUAAAAUAUAAAAUAUAAAACUACUAUAUAUAUGUAUAGCAUAUAUUUAUAUUUUAUUAAAUUAUAUUCCAAACAACAAAAAAGAAAAAUAUAAAUAUUACUUCAAGUUCCACCCGUUAUAUAUUCUAAUUAGAAGGAUAUAUUUUAUUAUAACAAUUCCGGUUGAAAUUUGAGUGAGUUGAAUCGAAUUAUUUGAUUUAAGUUAGUCUCAAUCGUUUAUAAAUAAAUUGUGGAUCGUAGAGAUGGAAAAAAAGAAAGAAAAGAAAAUUAAGAUGAAUAGUUAAGGUGCCAAAUAGGGUAUUAUCCUUGUGAGCUUUACUACUCGAAAUAGUAAAAUGAAGUUAAUCACAGGUACAAUAUAUCACACUAUUCAGGAUCUAGUUUCAUUCUUACAGCGAAUUAGUUUAGCCCCCCACUUCAAGGACAAUAUCAUGUUCACAUUCUUACAGCAACACAACUUUUUCUUGCAAGAUUACUUUUAAUUCAAAAUAAUAAUAAUAAUAAUAAUAAUAAUAAUAGUAGUGCAAGAGAAGAGAAGGAAUAGGUUUUCCAUAAUUAAAGUAAACACUCAUUUUCCUGAUAAUGUAUUUUUGUUUAUUAUCCAAAGGAAUUCUUUAUAGAUAAUUGAAAAAAAAAAAAAACAAAAUGGAGGAGAUAUUUGUAUUCUUUUACCAUUUGUUUUUUUUUUGGUUACAUCAACAUAUACUCUGGUCAAAGUUAGCACCACCUUAAUAAUCAUAUAGACGCUACCCUAAACUCCAUAUUUUCAAGAAAAGAAAAGAGAGAUUUUAAUCUUAAAAGUUACUUUUUUCUUUCCUCGUUUGCAAGUUUUAAUUAAAUCAGUCACAUGUGAUUAGAAUCAGUAAGUAACAUGAAUUCUGGGAUGGUAUGUAUAAUAGUAAGAUGGCUCCACAACAGCCGCCUCAGGAAUAAGGCAACCACUAUAAGUUCAUGUAACAUAAAUAUAAAGAAUUAAGUACAAAUGGCAUUCUUCAUAUAUAGUUUUGGAUACCAGCCAUCCAAUUUAUCCAAGAAGUGAAAGACGAGAAAAAGGAGGUUCUUGUUCUUGCUGUUGUUUACGUAUAAACCAGAAAAGGAUCAAUCAAGUGUGGAUUGUUAGUUGACAAAAGUUGGGGUGGUUUCAAUUUUUAAUGUUAAAAAAGAAUGAUGAAAUUUCUGUGACAUAUCACUGGAUUAAUAAAGAAAACAAGAAAAGAAUCGCACAGUUAUCGCAUUCAUCACUCCUUUCCACUCUUCUGCUAAAUCUAUCUCUAUACGACAGUUGGAAAAAGAAAUUAAUAAUAACUAUACUCAGAGCUAUACUGCAAAUACAGCAAUACUUAAAGUGAACAGAGAGAAAAAUGAAAAAGAAAAGAAGACAGAGAGAGAUGAAGUGUGGAGUGGAGCCCAGGUUCUGUUGUUUGGGCUCAUAUGGGACAGGUACUGAAGAAAACUUAACAGUACAUAUACCCUGACUGUAUAGUGAUCAUGAAAUGACAUAUCAAGAAACCCCUUUGACUGCUUGCUCUCUCUCUGGUCACAACAAUUGUUGCCAAAGCUGCCAACAAGAUCCAUUCCCUUCCAUUCUUUGUUGCAUUAUAGUAUAGUAUCAUAAUAAUCACUCAUCUUUUAUGUACUAUAUUAACAUUGAUCACUCAUCUCAGCCCUUGCUGCCUCUUUCUCUCUCUCUCUCUCUUUUAUAGCUAGCUAAUCAUUUGAUUUGAAUUUUUAUUGUGAAUGUAAACAUAGUAUAGUAUGUUCUGUCCAUCAGUUGAAAACCUUCUCCUCCCACUAAGUUAAACAAAGGGAAAUGGCAUCAUCAUAUUGGUACAUGCAGAAAGUCUUUUAUUUUUUAUUUUUUUGAUUCUUACAGUCUUGAAAGGCUCCUUUCAGCGCAUUUGCCACUAUACGUAAUAUACUUAUUCUACUCACUCUGAGGAUGCUAUCUCCCUAGACCCUUCUAAGUGCUCGCUGCCGUGCAUAGAGAGACUCAUCUUUACAAGAGGAAUUAUUGAAGACAAAAGGUUGAUAACACAUCCCACAUGGCUAAUAAAUGGCUAUGCAUUUACUAUCCUCCCAAAAGUAGAAAUUUUUUUCUUUUCUUCCUUCUACAAUAUUUCGUCCAAUCUUCUUUUUGUUGAUUUUAACUCUAGUUUUUACACACUACUAGGGCUAACUCAUCAGCAAUAAGAUGAGUUAUUUUAUUUUUCUCUUACAAGUCAAAUAUUGCAUGCUUGGUGCUUUCCCUGUUUGUGAAUUACCUCCACAUUCACAUAUGUUGUUAAUUUGUUUUUCUUGUUCUGAUAAUUGUUAAGAUCAAUAAGGAAUAUGCAUGUUUGUCCUCUUCUGAAAUACUACACAGAGAGCCACAUAAACUCACCCUUUUAAGUGAUCUGUUAAUGUUUAACACCCCUCCCAUGGCACUGGGGGAACCUUUAGUUAUCUCUUUAACUAAAUGAGCUUUGGCAUAUUCCCCAUACCUUUUCUUUCUCCAGGAUAACAUGCAUUUUACAUAAAUGAGCAUAUACCAUCUUUGAAUGAGAAAAAGAAAAAUGGUGGAGAAUACAAAUAUGAACAUACAGAAACUCGAUCUAAUUAAACCAAAAAGAAAUACGAACUCAGUCCACCAUUUUAUCUUUCAAGAGUCCACAAAAUCACUAACUUCUAAUGUGGAAAAGGUAAGAAAGGGAAAAAGAACUAGGGAAAAAAAAGAACAAGAGAGAAAGAAACAAUAAGAAAAGAGGCUGGCCAUCAAAGUGACCUAAUACUUAAUGGGUUCUUGCUUUGAUAGGCCAUGAUUGUGUAAAACAAUUAUCAACUCAUAACAAGACAAUUUCAUGCUAUUUCACUGAGUGGAUUCGUUAUCUUGCUCAAUUUCAGAGGCUGGUUCUUCUUCCUCUUCAAAGGAGUCAAUACCAUAAGCUGCAUGGCCAUGCCCAAAUGACUUGAUAUGAUCUUUAAGAGACCUUUUGUGUUUGAAAUCAGACCCACAAGUACAAUACCAAAGCUUUCCACAGUUCUUUUCAUGAGUUCUCCAAUCACCUCUGACAGCAAAAGCCUUACCACAUUUUCUGCACAUGAAAGGCUUGAUUCCAUGCUUUCUCUUGUAAUGAGUUUGAAGGGUUCUAAAAUCCUUGAGGGGCUUUGAUCUUGGAUGAUCAAUGUUGUUUCUGCAGCCAGGUGCACAGCAGUAGCAAGGAAGCCUAAGCAUUGCGGUUGGCUGUGUUCCUCUCAGAGACUCUGGCCCUUUUCUAUACUGAGAUCCAUGCCCCCACAUAUGCAUCUACAUGUUCAAGCAAUGCUUAGAUAAAAAGAAAAUUCGAAGUGAAAUUUUUUAUUUGCCCGUUCCUAGUCGUCAUGGGAAAAGUCCAAGUAAUCAAGAAUAUAAAUAAAGAAGCUAAACAAAUCUAGAUAUAAAAUUAGCAACUAGACCUUUAAAAAUAAAGAAAGAAAAAGGGGGCAUCUUUAGAGAUCUUUGCACCUAGUCAAAAUAAAUUAUUAUACUUUGGGCUCAUCCAGAGAUUGAAUUUUCUCUCUCACUGUCAUGCUUAGUGGUACCAGUAAGGGCUUUUGCAUGUAUAGUGCAUGCAAAUCUUUUACAGUGAGCUCGAACCCUAAAAAUUUCAAAAUUAAGAAUCCGUGUGUAAGUAAAAUGAAGGAAGAAGGGUUUGCUUCAGAGAAGGUAAGGUUCGUACGGAUCUUAUAUAAUUCUGCCAAUUGAUAUGCAAUUUUUUUCUUACUUAGGGCAUAUUAUGCUAUGAAAGAAGGGAAAAGAAAAGGGUGCCUGAAAAAGAAAUAUGAUUUUCAAUAAUAAGAAGAUAAAGAACAAGAAGUCUGUUCACUUAGGAGUUGGGGCCAAAUUUGGGGCUAAGUAAUUCAAAUAUGAAGCAAUUGACUCUUCAGAUUGAGAAGCAAAUUUGCUCUAGGGCUUUCGAUGAAGAUCAUCUGAGACGUGGAAGAACUGGGGUUACUUAUGUUUCUACACAGUUGCCAAUGUACAAGAACACAAACUUCAAGGUACAAAAAGCAUAGUGCCUGAGUAGUUCAAUCAAAUAAAGGGAGCUACUGAUCUUAUUCUCAGUUGGACCAGAGGCUUUGAUUUAUUCUUAUUUUUUAAAUCCCAAAGCCAACAAAUCAUGCAAAAAAGAAAGAGAGGGAGAGAUGGAGGUGGGGAUGGAAGCUGAGUAAGAAGAAGAAAUAAACAUAAAUUAAAGAGUCAAAAAGGAAAGUUAUGUCUUAAAGUAGAGAAAAAAGAAAAAGGAAAACCCUAGUCUUAAGGACCCAUUUUCACUAUCCUAUUCUUUUUCUCAAUAUUCAAGCUUGUGGAAAUUACGAAAUCCAGCCAGGCCAGUAAAUCAGAAUUCUCGUAGAGAAUUGCAGAAAGUGUAAAAUCAAAGUAUUAGGAAUGAGAGGUUUCACUUUUAUUUUUUUCCUGCAAAAUUAAAAAGUAAAUACAUGGAAAGGGAUAGAAGAAGGAAGGAAAGGUAAAGCUUUUUCUUUUCUUUUCUUUUUUCUUUUUUUGUUUUUGUUUUUCUGUUUGAAUCGUAUCAUAUGGUUUAUUUCAUGGAAACAUACCUGCAUGUUAUUGUAUCUGUUGAAGGUCUUGAAGCAAAGAGGACAUGAAAACUGUGUAGGACCAAUCAAAAUUUGAGCAGGUGUAGGGAUCCAAUACUGACCCUUGUUAAGACUGCUGCUAGUUGUUUGAUACCCAGAAGCAACAGUAACUUCUUCUUUAUCUGAUGAGAUCUCUGUCGAAGACGAUAAAGUUGAAACCAAAUCAACAGAGCUUGGAUUAGGAAGCCCUAAAUGCAAAGCCACUGUCACGGUUUCAUCAUCAUCAUGAUCAUCCUUGUUCAUGUCCAAGUCCAUGGCAUUGGAAGAUGAUUCUUGCUGCUUUUCAUGAUCAUGCUUUGUUGGGCUUAGGCUAAGGAGCUGAAGAGCUUCUUUGACAGGAGGAGAAGGAGGUGAGGAUUGAUACUGAGCAAAAGAGCUGGUGUUAUUGAAGAUGCUACCUGAUGAGUACAAAUUGCAGCCAUAAGAUGAAUAUAAAGAUGGAUUUGAAGAAGAUGCUGAAGAGGCAGUGGAUAAGUGGUGUAAGUGCUUUAGGUUAUACCAUCCAUUGAAGUAAUUGGAAUAGGGAUCAGCCAUGAUUGGAAUUUGGAGGAGAGAAUAGUUGGGUGGAUAGAAGACAGAUAGAUAGGUUACUUAUUAGAAAGAGAGAGAGAGAGAGAGAGAGAGAGAGAGAGAGAGAGAAAGCAAAACAAAAUAAAGAUGGACCAAAAGGUUAUAUGGUGGAGUCCGAACAAGAUAACCAAAUUAAAAGAAGUGUAAGAGAGAAGGGUACAAAGGAAAAUGAACAAGAUCAAGGUUGGUAAAGUGAACCCCAAUUGAGUUAAAAAGGAGAGGCAAGAUAUCACUUGUGAGGUGUGACUAAACAAUAGAGAAUAUAUAUACAUAUAUAUAUAUAUGCUAAAGCACAGAGAAAGAGAGAAGAAACAUGAAGGUUGGGGUCAGAAAGUGGAGGAGAAGAUAAUCUUGGGACUUGAAAGAACAAGCUAUAUAUUGAAUAGUGUGUGAAAAGAUUGUAAGAAAAAGAAAAAAAAAAAAAGAAAAAACUAAUGUAAAAUUAGUCCAAGAAGAACGAGGCAGUGGAAAUUAAACCAAAGACAAAAUCUGCAAUUAGAGUCUUCUUUUUUUAUCUCCUAAACACUCAACAUAUAUAUGUGUACAGUACUACAGCCUCUUUUCUAAUUUGUUUUUAUCUUCUUCUUCCUCUUCAAUGGUGAUUUUUUUCUUUUUUCCCCCUUCCUUGGGAAACAAAUAGUCUCAACCAAACCCAGCACUUGCUUUGGUGGGCGCGCCCUGGUCGGCUUGGCUCAGUACCAUCCUAUAUACAGUGUCCCAACCAACCUUACUGUUUAGUUAUGUUGUUCUCUCCUCUUCACAUACAUUACAUGCACACAUCUCUCUCUCUCUCUGAUCAGUGCUACACCUGCAUCUUGAGACUGAGUCCCACAUGGUUUAAGCUCAUUCUUUGCUGGCAGCAAAUGUCACAGUAAUUUCCAUCUACUAUAUUGACCUAACCCUUACUGUAGCCAAAAAAAUCCAAAAUUUCUGCAAUUAUGCAAAUACUGUAAUGAGAUAAUAUUGAUUUUGAUUUAUAAUUUCAUCUAUCUUGAUGGGUUUCUUUCAGAAUCAGAAGGUACUUGCACAUAUCAUUAAUAUAUGCAAUUGUUCUUAAGUGAUGAGGUUCUUCUAUCAAAUAAGUAAAUAAAGAUUCUGAUACUUUCAUCUCUAGGACGUGGGCCAAUCACCAAUUUAUACAAAAAGUAGAGCAAAAACCUAUACAUGUAUAUUUACACAGCUGUUUCGUUGUUUAGAGUUAAUGCAAGUAGUAAAUACAAAGAAGAGAGCAAACGGAUGAUGAAGUUAAAUUUAACGCGAACUAUAGUACAUAGUAACCUGAGUACAUUGCCACUUGGAAACAUCUUUUGCUGCAAAACAACUUCCAGCAUUGCUAUUCCUACCCUUUUAUCAUCGUUUUUGAGUCUUGAAGAAUAGCUAAUGCUGGCCAAGUACCUGUUCCUUUCUAUAUAGAAUGUGGGACCCCAUUUGAUGUAUUUAAGGCAUUUUCAGAUUUUGACAAGCUGAGUUGAUAUCAGGGGCAGAGUAGGUUGGAGACAAAUUGGAGUGAUUUGGCCUUUCUUUCAUGACAUGGUAACCAAAAGAACAAUUAAUAUGUACACAGAUAUAGUACCAUGCAUUGCAUAAACUAUUAGGCAUUUCUCAGCUUCAUAAAGUUGAUGAACAGAUACUAAACUUUUCUUUCCAAAACAUUAUUAUGAUGCACGAUACAAUUUGGCAACCGAAUCACUUAAGUUCUAGUACUUGCAAUGCAAUGAUUGUCUUUGGAGUUCCAGUUUGGAGAUUUGGAUUUGUAAGAAUUUCAGAAUUACUCAUUUGGUUAUACGGUUAAUGGAUUAUGAUAAAUAUAUCAUUGAUUAAUUAAGAUCUGGGUUUUCUGUUCAACUAAUUAUGUAAUGAGUUGGUCCUUGUCAUGCAUUCUUUUUCUCUCUUCUCAAUUAUAUAAGUACUUGAAGAGCAAUUGAAAUUGGAUUAUUUAAGUGAUACAUAUUUUAAAUUUUAUAAUUAUCCUAUAUAUAUUACCUAUCUAAUUAUCUAAUACAAUGUCAAGAAAAAGUCUAAUAGAAUAAAUCAAUGAUUUUGAAUAAUGGAAAAGCAAGAAAAAGACCUCAGGCAUGCAUAUGGGGAAGCCAAGAAUCCAUGAAACCCAUGGAGAAAGGUAAAUCAUCUCUUCCAAAAAUAUGUUCAUUAAUUAUGGAAGAUUCGGCCAAAUUAAAAACCAACAUGCAUGUUCUUGGCAUGAAGUUGGUCUAUGGAUGAUCAACCUCUGCCAGGAAAAAUUCUAGAAUUUUGUUUUUCUUUUGGUUUUAUUUUAUGAGGUGUGUCUCCACUCUUUUCAGGUACCAAAAUAUUUUGUUUGGAUCGAAAAACUAUUACGGUAAAGACUUGCCAAGGAAUGACAAGUUAUUUUAGUAUUAAGGAAAGAAGAACUUUUGUUUGGUGGGAUUUAGCAUUAAGGAAACCAAUGUAGCAGUGGCUUUAUAAAGUGUGUUUAAAAUGGAUGAAAUAACAAUAUUAUACUCUAAAUUCCAACAGAAUAAAUAAGAAUUAAAAUACUGAAAGUAAUUAAAGAUUAAAAUAAAAAUGGAUCCACAUUCCUUUUCAAGUGUUGGGGAUUGGAGCAAAGGUGUGUAACCGGGAAUUUGGAAGUUGUGAGAAUUGAGACACAGUUUGAAUGCAUGGCCAACAUUAGUAGGAGACAGUAAAGUUGCAUCAAUUUUCGUCUCGUGGUUUUUUUAACCUUCCCACAGGAUCCUUCACACGGUACCAAGCAAUGAAAAUUCAUAUUGUAUUUCUUUUUUUAUAUUAUCUUGUUAAGGUCAAAAAAAGAAAACUUUUCAAAAGAGAUAAACUGUGAGAGUGAGAGUGAGAGUAUUUAAUUAAUUACUAAUUAGGUUUUGAGCUUUAUAAUAAUAAUAAUAAGAAGAAGAAGAAGAAGAAGGUAAUUAUCACUUAUUAACUUAACGACAGAGAUGCAUUCAGGAAUGGAUUGGUAUGUUAGAGCAGAUUUUGUGGAUGUGGCCUUGAAAUGUCCAAGACAACACGAGUGUGCUGUAUCGUAUCAGUUCAUUGAAGCUACUUUGCCUCCCCUCCCUGUCUUGUUAUAACAUUUUUAAGCAUCCGCCUCUAUUUUCUCAAUCCUCAUCACUAAUUUAUGUUUAUGUCUCUUCUUCAUUAUAUUAAUUCUAACUCUUUCUUUGGGAUUGCAAAUUUCAAUUAAGCUUAUUAUAAAUGUUUCUGAGAUUUCUCUCACUUGGACUGUGAUCCACAAAUACAUAUAUAUAUAUAUAUAUAUUUAUAUUGAAUAAUCAAUAUAAAUGUAUAACAUAUUCAUUUAUGUAUAUACUGCUUUAUUAAUUGGUGCUUUAAACGUGAAAUAAUAAAUAAAAUUUUAGAUUAGUAAUAAUGUGAAACAUCUAUAUUAAUAAACUAAAAAUUUAAUAAAAUUACUGUUGAGGACAGUGGCCCCCUAAUUCUGCCAUUGGCGAAAUUGAACUUUCACAGGUAAUAAAUAGCAGUAAAUCUAUAGCGGUGGCUGCUGAACUAAUGCGACUUAUUAAUUUCGUUGUGUUGGACACUCUUAUGUUUAGAAUAGUUUUUGUGUACUUGAGCUUUUAGGGUCUUUAUAAAUGGAAUAAAUUCAAACCCCUGUGAUAAUAAUGCUUCAAUUCAAUGGCUCUUCAUCAAUGAAAUCGUUAUUUAAAAAGAAAAAAAGAAAAAGAAAGAAAUCUAAGUAGCUAUGUUUAAUGAGCAAAUAAAAUUGUGAGGAUAAAAAAGAAAAGAAAAGAAAAAGAGAAGAUGGAAACAUGACAGCAGACACGUGGUGAACUGUCAGAAAAGGGAAAGAAGGAAUUGCAGAUAGGAAGAGCAGAGAAAAUGCAGUUUCUAACUGCAAUGAUUGAUUAACAGUUUGCUGUUCACUUCAUGACAUGACAUCCCUUUUCAUUUAUUGAACUCACUCUCUCUCUCUCUCUCUCUGCAUCUUCACUUCUUCACCUAUACACAAAAAUUCGAACAACGGCAGUGCCACUGAUGACAUCUUAGUUCACAGAAACAUUUUUCAAAUACAACUCCUGAUAUCUAUGUGCAUUAAGUAUGUAUGAAGAACUUCAUCAUCUAGACGUUACUAAUCCCAUAUACGAUAAGUAACCCAAAAUAAAAAUUAAAACAAAAACUCCUUUAUUUUCUUUACAUUUCCCAUUUGGGUCAAUGUAUCAGAAAACUGAUAGCUAAGAACUCUGGCUAAUUCUAUUUGGCCGGAGCACGAAAUAUAGGCGCCACAUGUUCAAAGUUGUCAUUUGCAUUCCAGGGAAAGUGACUUAAACUGCCCACCCAUACAAGUCCCGCUGUUUCUAUCAAAAUAGUAAGAUUGAGCUGAAUAUGGGUUUUGAUGAUUUUGUAACAUCAUAUUAUAGAAUAAGAGAUAGAAUUUAAUCAAUCAAAUUUACCUCAAAGAAGGUAACUUUGCUUUGGGCACAACGAAAUUGAACAAAGCUAACAAACGCAAAGAUAUUGGCCAAUCCAGGAUGAACUUGAUGGAUUUAGAAAUAUAUGCUCCAUUUUGUUGCAUCGGAGAUUCAUAAAAUGUUUCAUUAAUUAGUAUCUGCUGCUGGGGAAGUAAAUACGGCAACGUUCAUUAAUCCAAAAAUCGUUGGCUUAUUGGAGAUGAUAGUAAAUAAAAAAAAAAAAGCUGGAAGCAGAGAACGCUACACAAAUGACAAGGCCGUGAAACAUUAAUUGCACUGAAGGACAAAAUUAACACCCAACUAAAAAUACUGGGAUUGAAGGCCUUAAUUUCGGUGACCAACUCCAAAGUGAAACCUCUUUGCAUGCUUGUCAUUAAAUGCAUACUCAAGACGCAAAGGACCUAAAGGGGAGUCCACACGCAUUCCAAAGCCGUAUCCAUAUCCACUUCCAGGCUUCAGCCUCGCCCCAGCAGGAUCACCUAAUAAAGAACAAUGAUCAAGUUAUCGCAUAUGACGAGAACAAAACUAUUGAACUAUUAGGUAAAACAUGAAUGUCAGUUAGAAUUGUGCUUCCUUUUUCUUUUUUUGGGUGAUACCCAGAAAAGGGUAAUCCCCCAAAAAGGUUUCAAUGCAGUUUGAUGAAUUUAGCUAAAUCAAUUGAGCAACUGGAACUUGUCUAUACAGGCAAGCAGACUAUUCUUAUUUAAACUAAUAUCACAUGCUCUAUCUUGACUCAAUAUUCCUCCUUAAAUGAGCAAGAACAGAGCUAUCCUGCUUUGACUAUUAAUCUUUCAUAAUAUGCUAGUCGGAUGCAGCAGACAUUGUUAUUUCAGGUAGCUACUUGCUAAAACCUGCUAGAUAUAUGUAAAAGAGAGGAGUAUGCUCCUGAAAUUUGGACAGUGGACAUUUCAGAUCCAUGUGUCAUCCUGAUAUACACAAGACCUACCAGGUACUGUGGGUCCAGAUCCCAGGUCAGUUCCAUAGUCAGCAAAGAGAACUCCUUCCACCGGCCCCAUCUGCAAACCAAAUAAGAAGUAAAGAUCAUCAAGCAAACCAUGACCCCAAUACCACAUUAUAACAUAAUGUAAAAUGACCGCCGUGCAAGAAAAGGAUGCAAUCACUUACCAGAGGGAAAGAAAUUUCACCAGAGCCAACAGCAUAAGAUCUAGCAGAGCCCACAGCACCUUCUUCAUAUCCCCUCACACUAUUUGUACCUCCAAUGGCAAAUGCCUCGUGAGGAGAGAAAUUACCUACUACAUGGCCGCCAGACAAACUAGAAAAGAAAGCAAGAGAAAGAUAAAUGAGAUAAAUUUCACAAAAAUUUCAGCAUAAAUAAGAAUUCAGACGAGCAAAAUGUUUAUCUUUACUAUGAUACAGAAGAAAUGUCGCCACAGGGCUUCGGCAUUCUAAUGAGAGCAUGCAAAUUCAACAUUUUGACUUGAGGAUACUCUUCAAAGAUUUAAGCACCAAAAGAGAAGUUUCUAAAAUUUUUUUCGACCAAGAAGAAAAUUCUGCACACAGUUGCUUAGAUGACCAACAAGUAGGCAGUCUCUUUAGCAAGGAGGAUAGUUGAUUCAGAAGAUUAAGAAUGGCAGCAGCUAGGAUGAACCUUGUUAAGUAACCUCCUCAAAGAAACCUUCAGUUACAUAUGAAGAACUACUCGAGGAAGUGACCUCCUAAGGAAAAUAUAUAUUGGGAUGUAGCAUCUCACUUCGGAAGGAAGCUAAAAAAGAUCUUGCAUUGCUUGUCCAUUAUGUUACUAGUGAAUGCUCUGGCUAGUUGGACGCAUGAUGCAUCAUGUGGUAUGAUUCCUACUGAAAAAAAUUUGUAGUUGGGUUACCCAUCUAAAGUUUUAUAUUUUUAUUUCCAGAGCUCCUAUAAGCUAUUAAAUAUUUUCAUUUCAUCCCUUAGACCCUAAUCUGCCAACUCAUUUUCAAUCCAAACUUGAAUAUAAUUGCAUCUCAAACUUCUCUAAAAUUAUCUCUCGACUCGAAAUGGGAGCAGGUUUGUAAAAGGAUCUUAGAGUGUCUAAGGUGGGGCCAGGAGGGUCUGGUCUCUUAACGCCUUCUUUUUUCUUCUCAUGGUAAAAACAAAUUCUAAGGAAUCAAAAAAACUAAAAAACUGGAUCUAUAUCCAACGAAUCGCACCUACCAGGAAAAAGUAUUUUGUUUUGGUUCGAAUAAUUAUCAUAGCAUUUUUUAAAGUAUGAUAUCCAAACUGUGCUAAAUGCUCUGCCUAUUUGGAUCAAGAUGCAUCAUGUCAUGUGAUGCUGGGUUGCCCAUCUAAAGUUUAUAUGGUUACUCACAAAGCUCCUAUGCUAAAUUUACCCUCCAUCACAGGGGGAAAAAUUUACAUAUAGAUGCAAUACCUUAGAAGGAAUAGAGCAGGACCAAUUUCUACACCCUUUCUAGCACGAGCAUUUACUCUGUUGAAAAAGAGCCACUCAGGCCAAAGAGGAAGUCCUUGUUCCACAUUCAAUACAAACUGCAAAGAUAAAAAUGAUCCAUACAAAAUAUAUUAAGAACUAAAUGGUAGGAAUAUCCAAGUCUCAUUAAGUGAUGUUGGCAUAAGGGGGUUAGGGUCCUUAAUGACAAAUGACUAACCAUUGAAGAGCCAUGAUCACCAGAACCAGUAUAGACACUUUCAAAUUUAGCAAGAAGCAUGUUGUCAUGAGUCUUGCCACUGCACCACAAAAUAGGUAAACAAACAACAGCAAAUGAGAAGACAGGGACACUUGACUGGAAAAAAAAUUUAAUUAAGAACCAACAAAUCAUAGCACCCAAACUUUUAAGUUUCUUAGCCAUCUGCUAUCAGGCAUGUCUACCUUGCAGUAAGAGGGCUGCUAUAGUGAUCCUUAAUGAUCGGAUUUCCUUUCUCAUCAUGAGCGCCGGCAUGCUGUGAUUUUGAGAUCAAUAGAAGUAAACUAUACAGAUUAUACUUGGAGAGAGCCAGCAAGAAAUCUACUAAGCAAUAUGUUUCUCUUUUUGGUGAUUUCUUAAUUGUUAUCAAUGAGAAGAUAUCUAAAGAACUUUUCCUAAUUAUUAAUGCACUGAAGCUAAAUACCAAACUAUGCUAGUGAAGUACCUGAAAAAUAAGCCCAGCUGUUCCACUCCACUUUGGCCUAAGUGGUCGACUGAAUUCAACACCAGCUGUUACACGGCCAAUGGUAAGACUGCUAUUGCCAGGUUGGUAACUGUGCACAAGAUUCCCAGGGGUUCUUGAAUUCUAAUAAAGACAGGAUUAGUUCACAUGAUAAAGAAGCAUUCCUAUCACCAAGUGUAAUUUUCAAGACAAGAUAUGCAAAAACAAUUACCUGAACCAUUAUAGUUCUAGAUGUCCGUUUGUCGUCUCCUUGAAUCCAUGGGUCUGUAUAGUUUAUGCGAAAUAUUGAGUCAAUUUGGCCCCUCUCUAAGGAAAUAUUAAGCUUCUGAUUUCUUCCAAAAACAUUCCUGUGUGAAUAUGUGAAGCUGCAAGCGAAACAACAUUAUCUAUGAGAUAGCAUUCUCCCAAGUUGCAUUGUGUUUAUAUUGCAUGUAGCAGCUUAUGCAUCAUCGACCCUCCUAUCCUCGCCUCCUUUUUAUUUCUUCAAAAACUAAAGUUUUUCAUCAUCCGAUUGUUCACAAGCUUUUGAACUAAAGUAAGGGAAAGUCAAUGUUGGAAAGUGGAAAAAGAAAAAGAAAGGUAACAAAAAUGGGUAUAUGACAAGGGGUAUUAUUUCGGACAUGGUCUGAGCACAUGCAGAAACAAUUAAAAGUCAGGAUUGGAUGGCUGAAAGGUAUGGAGCAAUUCAACAAGCCCCUGGCACAACUUUGAAUUGGGAAGCAAGUAGAGAUAACAUCCCAAAAUGUAAAAUCUUCUAUACAUAGCAUUUUCCUUUUAAAGGAAAAAAGGUGAGAUGAGCAAUAAGUAAUGUCCAAACUUAAAUAUCAUGAAAAGAAACAAAACUAGAACAUGAAAAUUUAACAGGUUGCAUAUUGUGCAGAAAUACCUUCCUAUAAGUCCUGACAGGGGGCCACUUGUAAUCCUGGGAAUUGCAACAUAAUCAAUGUAUCAUGUUUCCGAUAUACCAGAUAUAACUUUACUACACAAAAAUUACGUGAAAGUAGCAUUGGCACCAGGGUCAUCUGAGUUAGCAUUACUCACCCGCUAGAUAUUCCACCACCAGCAGAGAAACCUCCACUUGGGCGUUCAACAACAUUCAUUACCAAAUCAACUUUACCAGUAUCUGAACACAGAGAGAAGAUGGGGGAAAAUCAAUUUCCAAAUGCAAGGUUAGAAGAUAAUAACGAAAGCAAAUGCAGUACCCAAGUUCUUUCACCUAAUAAAGCUAAAAAUUAUUUAGCAGUAUCUAAAACCAGAAGAAAGAGAAACUCUCUAGCAGCAAUAAAUCUCCUAUUGACAUCCAAGCGAUACGAUCUGAAUUUCAACAAAAAAUGGAUUCUAGUCCAUAUGAAGCAUGAUUCAUAAGUUUGUUAAAUAAAAGAUGUUUCACAAGCCACCAAAGAAAAAUGUCCUCCACUUUUUAAAUCUUUGAACAGCCAAAAAGGUCUUUUAAGCACUUAAUUUCAAGAAUCAAGCAUAUUGGUGGCAACAAUGGAGGAUAGUGCACAAUUUGCAAAUUCCAAUACUUUCAGGACUUUACUACAAUAGUAUUAACAAGUGCCUCCGUAUGCUCAAUGUUGCAGGACAAUCCAACAUGAAUAAAAUCACCUCCAGCAGGUUGAGGAAUGAUGCUAACAUCUUCCAUGAUUCCCAUGGUUAACACUGUAUCUACAUCUCGUUUCCCUUGAAGCAUGCUGUAGACCUACAAAGCAGUCACUAAAAAUGUCAAAACACUUUUUACUGGGUGUGCACCACUGGUUCAAAUGAAUGUUCAUCAAUAGGCCAUCUGAGUGCAAGUUGAUAAAAGCAAAGCUAAUAGCAGUAACAAAUUAAUUAACUGGAAAGAAUUUAUGAUACUGAAUUAUAGAGAAUAUAUAUUUAGUUGAAUUAAAAGGAGAAACUGCUAUUGGAAAAAAGGGUUAAAAUUUUUUUUAAAAGAAAAAAACUUUGGGUACAAAUACCAAGCCCCUUGCUCUGCAAAAGCUCAUAAAUAUAAUACAUGUAGAGACAUUUCUCAAAGUUAGAAUACUCAGUAGGACUUGUAACAAGACUGAAUGGCUACAUCAGGGCUUAGACCAGAAUUACCUGCCCCUUCUUAGUUGUAAGUUGUCUAAGUAUUGUUUCAGGUUUGGUCUUUCCUUUAGUUGGCUCGCCCCUGAAAAUAGCAAUAGAGCAUACAUCUUUUAUGAAUCAUAGCAUUAACUUUGUCAAAGACUCGAAGAGUGAUUGUCUGAGCAGAUUAACUUUGCUAUAGACUCCAAGAGCAGGCUCUUACGUUUUUCGAUCGAGGAAACGUAUGGAAAUGUUGUUCACUUCAGCUUCUGCAACUUGCAACCUUAAAAUACCCCCAGAUAGGAUCUCAACCCCUGAAACCUAAUGACAACAACAACAACAACAACAACAACAACAACAACAAAGAAUGUUUAAUACUAUAAAUCUUCAUCAACUAAAGGGUCUAGUAAGAACUAGAAUAGAUGGCCACAAGCACUAACCAAACCAAAAAGACCACGCUCCAUAUACCAGCCAUUAAUGGAAGUUAUCACAUCAUCCAAAUGCCUGAUAUUAACCACUUUUCCUGCACAGCUUGACAUCAAAAUUCAAAGCCAAUGAAGCUUGAUACAUAUAUAUCAUAAUUAUACAUUACGUUAGAAAAUCUAAAGAAAAAAAAGAAAAAGAAGCCUACCAUAUCCCUCACGGAAUGCGUCCUGUAGAAACUUUGUUGGAAGAACACUAGCACCUUCACAUACAAGUCCAUGAAACUCCUGGUUUGGUUCUACCUUAUGCCACAAGAGAAAGCAAUGUUAAUAAUUCCAUUGACAUGAUUAAAAAAUCUGCAUUCGCAACUAUUUUUGUACCAUACCUGAAAUACUAAUCGUAUGCCAUCACGAGUGUCAACAGCAACGGGCGUACAAGAGCAAAAGUAUCCACUAUCAAUUAUCCUAUGCACAUCUUCUUGAACCUCGCGAACAGUUAGGGCUGAGUUGGCACGGCAAGCUUUCAGUGCAGCUACGGCCUCUGCUUCCAGAUCCUUCCUCUCGAGCUCUUCGCCGUCUUUGUUCCUUACCAAUACUUCACUUAUCAAUACUCUCUCCUCAUCGUGUCUACUCCCUGAGAGACCGCCUCCGCUUCCCUUCUGUUGAGUCACUAUGUUUUCUGACUCGCCAGGUUGAGUCAACGACAAUGAAGCGGAGCAGAGGAUCGGCGACUGCGUAUGUGACUCGGAGAUGACUGUGUCUUUGGACUGAGGGAGUGAUAGUGAAGCGAAACAUAGAAGAGGUAAAGUAAGUUUCCGAGGUGAAUUUACAGAGCGAGAUAUAUGGAUUUUUGAGCGAGUUAUGAGUGAGUCGAUGAAAUUAGUGAAUGAGAUUUUAGUAUAUGAUAAUUGAGGAGCUUGCUGUUGCUGCUGAGGUGGAGGGAGAAGUGGAAUUUUGAGGGAAGAUGAAGUGAACCGAACGGUAUCGUUUUGUGGCAUCGUGAUAUUCAGCGACUGAAAGGAAUUGCAGAAGAAAGCGCCUCUACUCGAAUAUCAUCUGGGUUCCAAAGAAGGAGAUAAACCCUAGGUUUAGGUUUAGUUUUAGCUCGUCGGCUAGCACUGGCAGUAACCACUGACUGGCUUUGGUUUUUCCGGUUUCGUUUUUGGUAAAAGAGGAAGAGUUUUGAUUUGACCCGACCGGUUGUAUUAGGGGAACGGGUUAUAAAUACGGAUCAUAACUUUUCUUUACUUCAUGUUCGGUGUUUAUUCUGCAGCCCAACAACCAUUAUAGUAUAGGCCUAAAUCUGGCCCAAGUGUUUGAGCCAGGCUCUUUUGGGACAAAGGAAAGAUGAGCAAAUAGUCUCAAAUUGAACUUUUCUUCUUCUUCUUUUUUUUUUUUUUAUAAAUAAUUUUAGCCCUAAAUUUCUAUUUAGAGCUUAAUUCAAUCCAAAUUUGACAUCAAAUGCCUGAAAAAAGAGGUGGUUCAAAGUGUAUUUUUUUAUCUAAAAGAAAAAUAUAAUAAUUUUUUUUGCUAAACAAUGUAUUCUUCUCCGAAACAUACAUUUCAAAAUAAAUUGUUAGACAUUUCUUUUUUUGGUGCAAAGGUCAAACAAAAAAUAAAAUAACUAAAAAUAUAAAUUUCAGGUAUCCAAAAAUCCAUUAUGCUAAUGUAAGUCCAAUUAAGCUAAUGUAUUGCGAGUAUAAUGGGGAAAUUGAUCCCUUUUCCAAUAUAUUAUUUGGAGUGUCUCUCUUGCACUAUAAUAUAUAUAUAUAUAUAUAUACCUCCUCGACUUUCUCGCACGCAAAGGAGAUUGGGCAAAAGAUAAGAUGCAUUGCAGUGAAUGAUGAUGGGGAUGGAGAUGUGAAGUGGAUUACAAAAGCAAAUGAGAGCGUGGAAAAAGACAUUUAUGCCCCUUCAAUUGAAUAAUAAGAUAAAUAUAAAAAAUAAUGUCUGAGAUGGAAAUGUGUUGCCAUAUAAUUUUAGAUUCCUAGUGGUAGAAUUCAAUCAAAGGACACCACCAGGCAUCAAGCAUGAAAGUCCAAAUUCUCGAGCAUUCUUUAUUAUUAUUAAAUAUUUUUCAAAAAAUAUAUUAUAGAGAUUUUUCAUAUUAUAUUUGGUAAAUUUUAUUUUUUAAAUAUUUGUAAUCUUACAUUAAUUGGUCUAUUAAUUUUCCAAAAUAUCCUAAAUCUUUAUAUAUCAAUUCUUUUUGUCAUUACUUAUAUUCCAUUUUGGCUUAUACAUCUAUCUCAUGUUUUGACUAAGAUGCUUUUCUUAUGUUUUUUUGUUCAACUUAACAAAAUUAAAAGAAAUUAGUAUAGUAUUACAAAUCAAAAAAUAAUUUAAUACAAUAUUAAAAUGAUAUCCUCGUUAUUGUAACAUGAUAAAUCUCAAGAGAUAAAUUAUAAUUAGUUUAUAAUAAAUUAUAAAAAAAUAUUAGAAAAUAAAACUUAACGAUUUUGAUAUGUGCUAAACAUUAAAAUCUCUAUAGUCAUGCAAUCGAAACUAAAUAAAUUUUAAUAAUAAUAAAUAUAUUAUAAUUUAAUGAAAGUCUGAUUUUUUAAACUUAAUACUCAAUCUUAUCGGUGGCUAAUAGAAACCAAAAAUAAAAUAAUUAAAUAUCUCGUCAUAUUAUAUAAAUAAGAUUAAUGAGAUAAGAGAAAUAAUACAGCAUAUUAUAUAUAUAAAUAUUAGUAUAGAAAUAAUAUUUUAUUAAAAUAAAAAUUAAAAAUUUUAUAAUUUAUUGCAAUAAAAGAUAUAGAUUUAAAUAGAGAUUAGAUAAGCAAUUUCCAUUAAUAUUAAGGAAAUGACUAACUAAACCUAAUAUAAUCGAGUAAAACCAAAAGAAAGCCCUAGUGAUUAACGUCUAAACGGGUAGGGCCGAAGAGGGAAGAAGCAGAUUUGAUUUUGAUAAACAUCUGCCGCCACAGAAAUGAUGGGGUCACAUCUUUAAAAAGAGGGUGGGAACUGGAAACCAUAUAAGACGUUAACAUUUCAAAAAUUCAAAAAAACCCAUAUAAAGACACAAACCCUCCGUCUGAGAGGCAUUGGCAUCCCUGUCUCUUUCUCUUUUUGCGGUGGCUGACUUCUGACACAUCUCUUCCCCUUUCGAUCAUGCUGCAGGUUUCCUAAUUCAGGUUUUAUAAUCCCUAAUCCUGAAUUACAUUUUACAACAGAGAAAGCCCUAACAAAUCCUCUCUUUCUCCGCACACACUCUCUCUCCCUGGCACGUGCGACGAUUCUUUCCGUUGGUAUAUUCUCUCUUUAUAUCCAUCAUUGAGUCGAUGGUGCUUUGAGGUUUUACUUGCUAGUUUCUACCUUUAUUAUAUAGAUUAUGUUGUUAAAGGUUGUUUAGGUGUCUCCUGGCGUAUUGAAGUCCUAGUUAAUAAUAUUUUGUUAUUUUUUUGGCUUCUUGUCGUACAAGUUAAUGGUAUUUUCUCCGCUAAUUCUCGCCUAAAUUCUUGUAAAUCUGUAGAAUUGUAGUUUAGUUUUAUUGUCCGUUGAUUCGUUUCUAACCUUUUUGACUUUUGCCCUAUUCUGUUGUUUAGCAGCGAUGAAUCAAGCUAAUGGGAAGGAUGGCCUAAAGGCACCUCUACUGCAGCCUCCAGAUAAUGUAGCAAUUAGUGUUCCUAAACACAAGGAUGGCAGAGAUAAUAAUAAGGUUAAAACGAUUAAGCUCAAAAUUGGGGAAAUCAAGUGCACCUCUUGUGCAACAUCCGUAGAAUCCGUGCUUCAGGAGCUUAAUGGAGUUGACAGGGUUGUGGUAUCGCCCCUUGAUGGCCAUGCUGCUAUCUCUUACGUACCAGACCUCGUUACUGUAAGUUUUUCUGCUCGAACAACUUAUUCAACUUUUCAUUCAUGUUUAUUGCGCAUACAAAUUGGAGACUUUGUAUGAGUUCUUACUCGCCCCAUUGGUUCUUAUAUGUUUUUGUUUCUUUCUAGAAUUUUGUUAAUGUUUGUAAUCUAGAUAAAGUGCUGUUUGAGCUGGAUUUUGAUUUUGGAUUGUAGCUCAGCUUCUUUACUUGCUUACUUUUGUGUUGAAAAUCGGAGUUUGGAAUUUUCUUCUUUUAAUUUGUGUGGAUUCUUUUUAUCCUCGAGCAUAAAAGCAAUGAUGAAGUAAACUGUAUCAGGCUCAAAAUAUCAAGGAAAGCAUAGAAGCUGCAGGAUUUCCGGUUGAUGAAUUUCCAGAACAAGAAAUUUCAGUAUGCCGGCUGAGGAUUAAAGGAAUGGCAUGUACCAGCUGCUCUGAGUCUGUUGAACGUGCACUCCUUAUGGCUAAUGGAGUUAAAAAAGCAGUGGUUGGUCUAGCUCUAGAAGAAGCGAAGGUCCAUUUUGAUCCAAACCUCACUGAUACGGAUCAUAUCAUAGAAGCAGUAGAAGAUGCUGGCUUUGGGGCUGAGCUCAUUAGUUCUGGGCAUGAUGUGAACAAAGUACAUCUAAAGCUUGAAGGUAUUAAUAGCGUAGAAGAUGCUACUAUUGUGCAAUCCUCCCUUGAGUCAGCACGGGGUGUGAAUCAUGUCGAAAUGGACCUUGCAGAGCAUAAGAUAACAGUUAGCUAUGACCCAGAACUUAUAGGUCCAAGAUCCAUAAUAAAAUGCAUUGAAGAAGCUUCUGCAGGUCCCAAUGUUUACUGUGCAAACUUAUAUGUGCCUCCAAGGCGAAGAGAAACAGAACAGUUGCAAGAAACUCGGACAUAUAGAAACCAAUUUUUCUUGAGCUGCCUUUUCUCGAUUCCAGUGUUUCUGUUUUCCAUGGUACUUCCUAUGCUUCAUUCUUAUGGUAAUUGGCUAGAGUAUAGGAUUCAAAACAUGCUCACUUUUGGGAUGCUUCUUAGGUGGAUCCUCUGCACACCUGUGCAGUUCAUAGUUGGCAGAAGGUACUAAAUAGACACCACUUAUGCUACCUUAUUAUCAUCUUCACUCUUAUGUCAUAUGUGAAUUGUUUAUGUUUGUUAUUGAGAAGAACAAUUACAUACCAAGUUUUUUUUUUUUUUUGAGAAACCCAUAAUGUCCUCUUCAGGUUUUAUAUGGGAGCAUAUCAUGCAUUGCGACGGAAAUCUGCCAAUAUGGAUGUUUUGGUUGCACUGGGCACCAAUGCUGCUUAUUUCUAUUCUGUAUAUAUAGUAAUUAAAGCAAUUACUUCAGAUAAAUUUGAGGGACAAGAUUUCUUUGAGACAAGCGCCAUGCUGAUAUCCUUUAUCCUUUUGGGGAAGUAUUUGGAGGUUCUUGCAAAAGGGAAGACAUCGGAUGCUUUAGCAAAGUUGACAGAACUUUCUCCUGAUACAGCUCAUCUGCUGACACUGGAUACUGAUGGAAAUGUUGUCUCAGAGAUGGACAUCAGCACUGAACUUAUAGAAAGGAAUGAUAUAAUAAAGAUUGUUCCAGGGGAAAAAGUUCCUGUUGAUGGAAUUGUCGCAGAUGGUCAAAGCCAUGUGAAUGAAAGUAUGAUCACUGGUGAGGCAAGACCCGUUGCUAAAAAACCUGGUGACAAGGUAUCAUUUGGGUUUACAAACUUUUUACAUGGUACAUUUGGUGAAUAAUACAAUGUUAAAUGGGAUCUGUUUAUAUUGUUCUUUCCCCCACCACUUCUAUGCCAUUAACAGGUAAUUGGUGGGACCAUGAAUGAGAAUGGAUGCUUACUAGUUAAGGCUACUCAUGUUGGGUCUGAGACUGCACUGUCCCAAAUUGUUCAACUUGUUGAAGCUGCUCAGCUUGCCAGGGCCCCAGUUCAGAAACUAGCCGACCAAAUCUCCAAGUUUUUCGUUCCUGCAGUUAGUAUAUACAUCCUUCAUCUUGAUUUUAGCCAGGUUUUAUAUAUGAUACCAGGUUUCACUUGUCUAUUAACAUUCAAUAGUAUUCUAUAUCUUCAGUUGAUGGAAAAUCAAGUAUGUUAGAAUUGCAGACUUAGUCCUUUCUGACCAUGAUCUUACACGACUAUACUUUUCUUAAGUUGCUGAUAAUUUCUGAAUCCACUUCAGGUCGUUAUAGCAGCCUUUAUAACAUGGCUGGGGUGGUUUAUUCCUGGAGAAGCUGGUCUUUAUCCUAGACAUUGGAUACCAAAAGCCAUGGACAGUUUUGAGCUUGCACUGCAGUUUGGUAUUUCAGUACUGGUGGUUGCAUGUCCCUGUGCCCUAGGGCUAGCAACACCAACAGCAGUCAUGGUUGCCACCGGCAAGGGUGCUUCUCAAGGUGUACUUAUCAAAGGUGGAAAUGCCCUGGAAAAAGCACACAAGGUAUGUUUUCUGUCUCUGUUUAAAAUUUAUACUCUGUUAGCUGAAUUUGGUUUUUACUAAGUGGCUUUUGUUCACAUAUUUAUUGAAGUUUAUUUUAACUAGUUUUGCUUUCUAAGGACACCAUCUCUCUGCUAUUCAGUUCUAGAGAAAAAGAGUCUGUAGCAAAAUUUGUGUCCAAUUGAGAUGAAUGGAGCUUGCCUGAAAAUCAAGAACAUAUAUUAAGUCAAAAUAGUUCUCUGAUCCUCAAGAGGAUACUGCAGUCAUUAACAGUUCAGAUUUUCAAUGAGGUUCUCAAGUUUGAAUCUUGAUAGAGUAAAAGGUAGCACAGAGAGCUGCUCCUUGUGUGAUAACUCACCAAUAACCCCAACAAGUAGUUGCUGCCUUUAUCAUUGUAUUUAAUUAUUAGUAUUUUAAUGCUGUUACAGAAGUGACACUCGUGCAUGCUCAUUCUCGUUAUAUUAGCUAAUUUCUCAUUUAUAUUAUAUUAAGCUAUUAGUAGUCCCAUCAAAUUGUUAUUGUAAUAGUGGCGACAGUUUUCAUAUUAAGAAGGCACUGAUUUGUUAGUUUGCAUCUCUUACAUGAGACUAAUUGAACCUUUAUAUACAUGUUGAUUUGCUUUGUGGAUGAUUAAUAUCUAAAUGUAACUGUGUUCUUUCUUUCCUGCAGGUGAAAACCGUUGUCUUUGACAAGACAGGGACAUUAACAAUUGGAAAACCAGUAGUAGUUAGUGCUGUGCUCUUUUCCAGCUUCUCAAUGGAGGAAUUCUGUGACAUGGUUACUGCUGCCGAGGUGGGUAUUUAUAUUGUGAUCAAUGAUCUUACGUUUAAAAAGUAGGUUGAAUACUCACAAGGCAAAGUGGAAAUAAAAUCCACUUAUUAUUUUUAUGAGUUCCUGCUACUACUAGGGCAAUGAAGAUAAAUUUUGAGCUUUUCUUUUUCCUCAGGCUAAUAGUGAACAUCCAAUAGCAAAAGCUGUGGUGGAGCAUGUUAAAAGACUACGUCAGAAGAUUGGGUUUAACACAGAACAUAUUGCAGAGGCUAAGGACUUUGAGGUGCACACUGGGACUGGGGUGAGUGGGAAAGUGGGUGACAGAACAGUUUUGGUUGGGAAUAAGAGGCUCAUGCAGGCUUGGAAUGUCAUAGUAGGUCACGAAGUUGAGAACUAUAUUUCAGAAAAUGAGCAAUUGGCUAGAACAUGUGUGCUAGCUGCUAUUGAUGGAAAAAUUGCAGGAGCUUUUGCGGUGACUGAUCCAGUAAAGCCAGAGGCCAAGCGUGUCAUCUCCUUUCUUCAUUCCAUGGGCAUCUCAGCCAUCAUGGUGACUGGUGAUAACUGGGCUACAGCAGCUGCUAUCGCCAAAGAGGUUGGAAUUGAGAAGGUGUUUGCUGAGACCGAUCCACUGGGAAAGGCUGAUAGGAUCAAAGACUUGCAGGUACUUACUUUUGUAUUUUUUUUUUUUUUAAAAACUAGUACAUAAAUAAACAAUUGAAUUGACUAUUGGACUUCCAACUGAUUGCUCCAGUACUAAUAAUGUGAAAAACAUUUGAGCUAAUUACAGGGAAAAGGUAUGACUGUAGCAAUGGUGGGAGAUGGAAUAAAUGACUCGCCAGCCUUGGUUGCAGCUGAUGUUGGCUUGGCAAUUGGUGCUGGCACUGAUGUAGCUAUAGAAGCUGCUGAUAUAGUUCUCAUCAAAAGCAACUUAGAAGAUGUAGUUACAGCCAUAGAUCUAUCUAGAAAGACCAUUCAGCGGAUUCGACUAAAUUACGUAUGGGCCCUUGGUUAUAACAUACUUGGCAUGCCUAUUGCUGCUGGAAUCCUGUACCCGUUCACUGGAAUCCGGCUCCCACCUUGGCUGGCUGGUGGUUGCAUGGCUGCUUCAUCACUUAGUGUGGUUUGUUCUUCACUAUUAUUGCAGUCGUAUAAGAAACCUUUGCAUGUUAGAGAUUGUUGAGGGCAGAUUGAUUGUAGACCAUCAUCAUUCUUGUAGCAAAAUUAAGUUUUUAAGCUCUCAGUGCUGUAAUUGGGAACAUGUGCAUCUGUAUAUGCACUAGUCCAUGUAAUAAUGUAGACUAUGACUUCAUCGAGUAAACAAACUCGACGAGUCAUGCAGUGGUUAUAUGAGGAGGAUUAUGCAUCUCGCUUGCUUGGAUUAUAGGGACUCCCAUUUUAGACAGAAUGGAAUUGACAGGAAGCUUAUAUUCCUAACAGCUUCCCAAAUAAAAACUCUGAUCUUUUCAGGAAUAAGAGAUUUCCAAAAGUAACGACAACUUGAAUCUUUAUAUGAUACAUUAAUUUGUCUAAGCACUUGGAUCCGAGUUUAUUUUUUUGGCUAGUUGCAGCCGUCGGCAUGGCAACUAGUGGUGCAGUUGCUGAUGUGGUAACAAAACUAGCCUAUACAGUUCUUGUGUAUAAUUGUCCCUUUUUAUUAAUCUUUUUUCUUAAAAAUUUGUGAGAUCUAAAUUUUCAUUUCUAAGUUUUAGAAAAAUAUUUUACAUUAAAUAUAGAUUAAUAAAUUUAUUAAUUUCUUUCAUAAUAAAAUUUAUUUCAAUCAAACACAAUUUUAACAGAUUAACAUCUUAAAACAUUAUACUUAACGAUUGCCUAAUAAUUAUAGAUUAUCAUCUAAUUGGUAUAUUUCUUGGUCUUUUUUAACAUAUUUAUUCAAUUAUUUUAUUUACUGCUUUUAUAUAUUAAUAAAAUAUAACAAUUUUCUUACAUAAAUAUAUAUAAUUUUGAUAAAAAUAAAAAUUUAAAAGUUACCUAUUCAAAGCAAUAGGUUGAGGACCAAUAGGAUAGAGUGAAAGAGUAAAAUAAAUAUAAAAAAAAUCUUAUUUAACUCAUAUACAUCCUAAUAAAAGAAUUAUAAAUAAAAUAUAUGUGUAUUUUAUAUUUUAAUAUUAAAUAUUGAUAAAUAUUUUAUUAUUUAAAAUUAAUAAAUAUAUUAUUUUAAUUAUAUAUAAAUUUAAUAAGAGUAAAGAAUUUUUAAUUAAAAACAAUAAAUUUGAGGAGGGAAUUGAGAAAGUACCGUACCUGUGAUAACAGCACUCUCAAGGACGACAAGCAGCUCGACACGUAGUUUAUCUUAGAACAGCCUCUCUUUCUUUCUUCUUGAAAUUAAUUUCAGCAAAAACUCUGUCAUAGUCUUUGUCCUUGUCUUUGUUUUUCUCUCACACGGUGAAAUAAUUUCUCUCUGGAUCAUUAAAAAGGUAAGCUAGAAAUAUGUUCUCUUUAUCUGAAAGUUUUAAGUUCUUACUAUUUUUAGCUUUGGAUCAUUGCAUUGAUCAGUCUUUUGUUUAAUUUAUUAGGGAAGUUUCAAUCUUUACUUCCAAGAAUCUGUAAAAACUCUUGAAUUAAUUACUGGGUCUUGCUGGGACUCUUGGUUUGACUUCAAUCAUCAAGGUGGGUACAUUCAGUUUCCAAGUUUAAGAAUCAUGAUAUAUAAGUUUGGGUUAUGCUUUUGGAUGAUUUACAACUUAGUUCAAUCUGUAUUGGGUUUAUAGGAUUCUUUGGGAUUUUGAUUGUAUGACGAAAAUGGAGGACAGUGUAAUUCUGUUUUAUUUUUAUUUUUAGUUUCAAAUGAUGAAGAUAUUUGUUCAGAUGCUUCAGGUACUUACAUUAGGUUUAGUUAAGUGGAUUUGUUGGUUCUUGAACAUUGGAAUAUGAGUAAUACGAGCUUCUAGAUGUUUACUCCCCCGUUUCUUCUCAGCCAUUGAUCAACCCUAGGGUUUUGGAAAUUAGAAUUAGGGAAUCACUUUAUUGACAUAUGGAUGCUUCAGGUUUGGGAGGUCAGUUUUUGUCAAGUCCAGUUGGUGGGUUAUUAGACCUUGAGUCACCAAUUCAUAGACAGCAGCAGGCCCAGUCAGGUCACUCCUCAUUAGCACAUCAACGCCACAUGAACUUAAUUAGUGGCCUUGGUAAUGAUCAUCAACCAAUUGGGCUAAUGGAAGUGAAAGGUUCAAGUCCAAGAAAUUAUUCAACGAAUUUAAGUAAAGGGAAAGGAGUUAGCCACUUUAGUCCCACAAAUGAUGGCAAUGUGAGUGAAGAUGAUGAGCCGAGUUUUACGGAAGAUGGGAAUGGUGAUAAUUCCAGUGGGGCUAAGAGUAAAAAGGGAUCUCCAUGGCAGCGGAUGAAAUGGACAGAUAAUGUGGUUAGGCUUCUUAUAGCAGUGGUUGCUUGUGUGGGUGAUGAUGGUGCAUUUGAUGGUGUUGAGGGGCUUAAGAGAAAAUCUGGGAUUUUGCAGAAGAAGGGCAAGUGGAAAACAGUAUCAAAGAUCCUGAUCAGUAAGGGUUGUCAUGUUUCUCCACAACAGAGUGAGGAUAAGUUUAAUGAUCUCAAUAAGAGGUACAAGAGAUUAAAUGACAUUCUUGGAAGAGGUACUAGUUGUAGAGUGGUGGAGAACCCUGCUCUUAUGGACUCAAUGCCGCUUUCAGCCAAGGCAAAAGAAGAUGUUAGGAAGAUAUUGAGCUCAAAACAUCUGUUUUAUAAGGAAAUGUGCGCUUACCAUAAUGGGCAAAUGAUACCCAAUUGCCAAGAUCUUGAUCUACAAGGCUUUUCAUUACCUCUUGAAAGGUGCUCAAGAGACAAUAAUGGCUCAGAGGAGGAGGAAGCUGAGGGACAUGAUGACAGUGAUGAGGAUGAAUCAGACAACGAAGAUGAUAAUAAUGCUAUAGAGGAAGGGGAAAGGAUGGGUAUGUAUGCUGAGAGGAAUAAAGUAAAUGAAGAGGAUGCCCAUCUUUGGCCUCAGUCAGGUGGGUGCAACAGCUUUGAGGUUGAAAUGGCUGGGAUUUUUCAAGACCCGUCGGUGUCAUUAUGGGAGAAAAAAGAAUGGAUAAAUAAACAGAAGUUGCAGCUGCUGGAGCAAAGAGUUAGCAUCCAGGCUCAAGCAUUUGAGCUUGAGAAGCAACGCUUCAAGUGGUUGAGAUACUGCAGCAAGAAAGAUAAGGAAUUUGAGAAGUUGAGGCUGGAAAAUGAGAGGAUGAGACUAGAGAACGAGCAAAGUGUAUUGCAACUAAGACAGAAGCAACUGGAAAUGGAUUUGAGGAGCUCAGAAUCAUCCAGGGACCCCACUUCGCUUGGUAUUGACAGACUGCAAGGAAGAGAUCAAAUUGAUUUGGGAAGGCAUCAAUAACUUAUUUAAAAACUGACAAUCCACUCCAAAUAUCUUGUAUGAUUGUCCCUCUAUAAAACUCCUUUAGCUUUACAUGUAUGGAGUAACUAACCUUGUGUACCACAUGUAUCACUUUAGAUUAAUCUUAGGAGAGUCUAUUAACGUGUUUAUUUGAGCUUUUUGAGAUGAAGUUGGAAAGUUUAAUGCUGCAGAUUUCUAGUAAUCUUCUUGAUUUCCCCUCUUCCACUUGUUUCCCCAGAAGCUUAUGGAGCAGAAAUACACCUUAGACCCCUCCAUAGGCUACUUCUUUCAGGCAUAAUACUUUGCUUAUACUGUGGCAGAUAUUGCUUACAUGCGAGUUGCACUUUUCAGUCAGUGUAUGUUUAUUAUUUUUUUUGUUAAUUGAGUAGAUAUAUGCUUUCAGCAGCUUCCCUUAGGGGACUGAGAAUACCUACAUAGUUCAGUUUGAUUUUCUCCUCUUCGAUUGAAUUUGCUCUCCAUGCUUGAGUUGAUAGUGAGUUUGUAGUUUUUGGAGAUUGGUUUUACUUUGUCGUCCUGAAGCAACAGGAAUAGCUCCUUAAAUGACAUCUUCUUCUUUCCCAUUAUCAGGAGGAAAAGUUAUGCAAUCAUACUUGUGUCCCUGAUUGGUUGUUUGAAAUACUUUCUGUAGAGGCCGUUCAAUUUGCAAGUCAGACAUCAUAUAUAGGAGGAAUUGCAAUGUAUCACGUAUCUGAAUUAUUAAUUUUCUCUUCGGCUGUGAAGAUGUUUCCCUACCAGUUUCAUUUUCCUUAAUUAAUAAUUUAAGUUGAUUCAUUGAAUCUGGAAGCAGAGGAUUGAUUGAUUUGAGCUAUUCUUUUGAAUAAUGUGGCUGGUUCAAUCUUCUGGAAAGGCAGUAAUGGUCGCAUGUCUAACUAGAUACAUUUGACUAUUUGAUAGCUCUCGUAGAUUGAUUUCUCAUUUUAAUAUUUGCAGCUGUUUCUUUUUUCUUUUGUUUUUUAAAAAUCAUAUAUUUAUAAGUAGUUAAUUCUGACAUUUGGUAUAUAAAUUCAGUGAGACAGCAGGCCAAUGAGAGUUCUCUAAACUUAAUAAAGUUGUAAAUUUUAUUUUCGGAAAAUGCAAAAGUUUUCUCCAAAUGUUGCCCGUAAGUAAGCCACUCAAAUUUAGAUACUAGCUAGUUGCCCCAGUUUGACCUAUUUGAAAUACAACCUACCUGGAAAUACAACUGCUCAUAAAAGAAGAAAUGUCAAAGUUUCCAAAUAUAAAACUCAUAUCAUAUCAUGCAGCUGCUGUUAGAUCAGAUGUAAAUAACGUUCAACGAGCAAUUAAUAAUCCUAUAACCGUCUCGCUUGAUUCUGUUCCUGGGCUCUUGGUUGUGACAAGCAAAUGGCUGAUAGGCACCGUCACCAGUACCAGUAUGGGGGCUUUCAAAGCCCGGCUCUGCAUCAAGGCCAGUUUGCAUAUAGUAAGUACUGCAAUCCAGGAUUGCAGUGUCCUACAACUAGGACAUGCCAAGCUUCCCCUGAUCUUUCAGUGCUUGUUCAAGCCCCAUCAGAGAAAGGGCUAGCAGGAUUUGCUGUAGAUUUUGUUAUGGGUGGAGUUUCCGCAACUGUGUCCAAAACUGCUGCAGCGCCGAUUGAGCGUGUGAAGCUCUUGAUUCAAAACCAAAACGAAAUGAUUAAAGCUGGUAGACUUUCUGAACCCUAUAAAGGAAUUGGAGAUUGUUUCAGCCGAACAGUCAAAGAUGAGGGUUUUCUUUCAUUAUGGAGAGGCAACACGACAAAUAUCAUCCGUUACUUGCCCACUCAGGUUUAUUUUCUCUUUGAUUCUCUGCAAAUUCCUCGUAAUUAUUUACAUUUUUUACUCUCCUAUCUAGCUAAGUAUAUUGUUUUUCUUACAGGCAUUUAACUUCGCAUUCAAAGAUUACUUUAAAAGGCUUUUCAACUUUAAGAAGGAUAGAGAUGGCUACUGGAAGUGGUUUGCUGGUAACUUGGCAUCAGGUGGUGCUGCUGGUGCCUCUUCUCUGCUCCUGACCUAUCCUUUGGAUUAUGCAAGAACUCGUCUCGCAAAUGACGGCAAAGCUGUAAAGAAGGGAGGGGAGAGGCAAUUCAAUGGUUUGAUUGAUGUCUACAGGAAGACUGUGCAAUCAGAUGGUGUUGCUGGGCUUUACCGUGGAUUUAACAUUUCAUGUGUUGGCAUCAUUAUAUACCGUGGUCUUUAUUUUGGAAUGUAUGAUUCUCUGAAGCCAGUAGUCCUGACAGGCAAGCUCCAGGUUAGUACAUAAUGUUUCUCCUUUUUCUGAUACUUGGAAAAUCUUUAAGGGUUACGAGUGGAGCUGUCACUCUUUGAACCCUUGAUUUCUUGUAUUAUGAGGCAGGCACUCGAUACUGAGCUCUCGUUCUUGAUCUUUCGAUGAUUUCAGGAUAAUUUCAUGGCUAGCUUUGCCCUUGGUUGGGUAGUGACAAAUGGUGCUUCUCUUGCUUCCUACCCAAUUGACACCGUUCGCAGAAGAAUGAUGAUGACAUCAGGUGAAGCUGUUAAGUACAAGAACUCAAUGGAUGCAUUAUCUCAGAUCCUGAAGAACGAAGGGGCUAAAUCACUGUUCAGGGGUGGUGGUGCAAACAUCCUCCGUGCAGUUGCUGGUGCUGGUGUUCUUUCUGGGUAUGACAAGCUUCAGGUUCUUGUGUUAGGAAAGGCUUAUGGUUCUGGUGGGGCCUAAAGGCUUAACUUCUGUCAAUCUUUUCCAGUUUAUGUAGCUAUAGAUGAUGAUGAAAAUCUUGCUGUUCGGAUUUUUUAGAAUUUAUUUGGUGUGAUUCUUUACUCAAUAAAACAAAAAUCAUUAUGUAGUGAAUGUUUUUUAUACCCCUUUUCAGGGUUUUAUUCCUGCAAAAUUCCAUUUAUUUUUUAAUAUAUAUAUGCAAUUCUUUUAAAGUAUUAUUAUUAUUAUGCUAAUUCCUAUAUAGAAAAACAUGUCUACUUUACUUGUGAUAUCACUGAGAAGUUAAAUUCUUGUUAACUUAAGAUACCAUCCCUCUAAUUAAACAUCAUAAUUGCUUAAGGAAAUCAAAUUAUUUCUAAAUAAUUUUAUGCAUAUCUUUAUAUUUAUAAAGAAUACGAUUUAAAAGAAUAUAUAUAUAUAUAUAUAUAUAUAUAUAUUUUAAUUUUUCAUAUUUUAAAAAAUAUCACACAUAUUUAACUCGAGCCUAUCGCACUUUAAAAAAAUAAAAAUAAAAAAAAUAAAUCAUAAUUAAUUUUUUUACAUUGAAAAAUAGAUAUUUUAUUAUUAAAUCAUUGAGUUAAUAAUAAUCAGUGCUUCCAAAAAAUUUAAUAGAUUUAUUUACAUUCUAUAGAAGUAAAAAUAAAUUAAAAGUUGAGGAUUCAGUUGCAGACAUUGUUUGUUAGAGGACUGCAUAGAAAUUUGAGAGAGAAAGCAAGAUGGCUAGCCUAGAUUUGAAAGUGCAGCCCUUUUUCUUUCUUUCUUUUUUUCCCUCUCAGGCUUUAUAUUAUUAUAUUCAUCCGUUCGCUGUUGAAUAGCACCGUUCCUCAUUUCUCUCUGACCACUCUCACAUAGAAAAAGGGUAACCUUCUUUGUCUUUUUUUGUUUUUGGUGUUGCUGAUACUUCGCAAUUUGAAUUUAAUUUUAAUGUCUUGUUUGUUCUUAACAUCCAACACUUGAUUGUCUCUUGUUAUAUAUCUAACCCUUUUCACGCUUUUAUUAAUUUCUCUCUUGGAUCUGUUAUUCUCUCUCUCUUCUUCUUUUUCUUUUCCUCAAAGGAUCAUUUUUUGUUUUUUUUUUUUUCACAGAAAAGGUUAGUAUGUUUUAUUGCGUAUUUUCUUUGUUCCUGAUAUUGGAACUUUUAAUCCACGAAUCUAAGUGGUUGUUCUUGUCGUUAUUUCUUUGCAUUUAAUGUUUACAUUAGCGUUAUGUCAGGGAUUGCUCUGGAUGACAUUGAUUCCCUCACGAUUGAUUAUAUACAAUGGAGUUGUUAAUAAUGUUGAUUUCAUUCUGGAGACUCAAUUUUUGCUCAUAAAGCACAGUUUUUUCUUUUCCCCUUUUUGAAAUUUAUACCGACAUUGCUGUUGUUUAAUGACUUUUGAUAUAAUAAUUAGUUUAUUUAUCGUAUUUCAUUUUGAAAUAUUUGUUCUCCAUUCGUGACCCAAGACUUCUUUUCUUUUUUUAAUUCUGCAAUUUAGGCGAGACAUUUCUUAUAUAUUUACAUUUUGUUCAAAAUGGAAGGUUAUGAGUUGUUCUUUUAUCUUCUAGCAUAUAUUCCUUCUAUUUUGUUUGAUGGUGCCUGCUUCUCUAAUCUAAUAACUGAAGAAUCAUGGUAAGAGCCAUACUAGUUUGAUCACUUUCUUGGGAGGAUAAAUAGAUGUCUUUUCUAUCAUUAGAAAGAUAUGAAGUACAAUUUUUUUAUCAAUACUUGGAAUGCCGUUCUUGCAGCAUGAUUUUACUUUUUCCGUUGUAUGGAGAAAUGCUAUUCAACAACUUUAACAAUUAUUUCAUUUACUUUAAAUUAUUCUCUCUCAGAAUACCAAGUUUGUUUGGCAAUGCUUGCAGAAUUCCAUAAUUGAGAAGAAAUGGCUGAUAGGCACCAGUACCCAUCUCUCAUGCAGAAGGUGGCCAGCCAGAUCCAUCUUAGUUCUAGCCUAUCCCAUGAUGUUCAAUAUCGAUAUGGGGGCUCUCAAAGCCCUGCCCUACACCAGAGGCAGUUUACACAUGGGAAUUACUGCAAUGCAGCAUUCCAGUACCCUAUGACUAGGGCAUGUGAAGCCUCCCCUGAUCUACCAUUGAUUGCAUCAACUGCGUCACCAGUUUUUGUUCAAGCUCCAUCGGAGAAAGGGUUUGCUAGCUUUGCUACAGAUUUUCUUAUGGGUGGAGUUUCUGCAGCUGUGUCCAAAACUGCUGCAGCUCCAAUAGAGCGUGUGAAGCUCUUGAUCCAAAACCAAGAUGAAAUGAUCAAGGCUGGUCGUCUCUCUGAACCCUACAAGGGAAUAGGAGAUUGUUUCAGCCGAACAAUCGAAGAUGAGGGAAUGAUGUCAUUGUGGAGAGGGAACACAGCCAAUGUGAUCCGUUAUUUCCCCACUCAGGUCUGCUGUUUCUUCUUUUGCAAAUACUUCACUUAGCCAUCACCUUUUUUUUUUUUUUUCAUGAGUUCUAAUCUCUCUUUUGCCUAUCAACUUGAUGAUUUCUCCUCCAGGCCUUGAACUUUGCAUUCAAGGAUUACUUUAAGAGGCUUUUCAACUUUAGGAAGGACCGUGAUGGCUACUGGAAGUGGUUUGUUGGUAACCUGGCAUCAGGUGGUGCUGCGGGUGCCUCUUCCCUACUCUUUGUCUAUUCUUUGGAUUAUGCUAGAACCCGUCUUGCAAAUGAUGCUAAAGCUGCCAAGAAGGGAGGGGGGAGGCAAUUUAAUGGCUUGGUUGAUGUCUACAGGAAGACCCUGCAAUCAGAUGGCGUCGCUGGGCUUUACCGUGGAUUUAACAUUUCAUGCUUUGGCAUCAUUGUAUACCGUGGUCUGUAUUUCGGAAUGUAUGAUUCUUUGAAGCCAGUUGUCCUUACUGGAAAGUUGCAGGUCAGUACAUUUUUGUCUCGCGUUUGCAUUUUUCUCAUUACCUUUUACAGUUGAAUAUCUUUGUUAGAUAAAAGAAUUUCUCAUGCUCUGUUAUGAUGAUUUCAGGAUAGUUUCUUUGCUAGCUUCGCCCUUGGUUGGGUUAUCACCAACGGUGCUGGUCUUGCCUCAUACCCGAUUGACACCGUCCGCAGAAGAAUGAUGAUGACAUCAGGUGAAGCUGUCAAGUACAAAAACUCACUUGAAGCAUUCUCCGUGAUCCUUAAGAACGAGGGAGCCAAGUCCCUCUUCAAGGGUGCUGGUGCAAAUAUCCUCCGAGCAGUUGCUGGUGCUGGUGUGCUAGCCGGAUAUGACAAGCUUCAGGUGAUUCUGUUGGGAAAGAAGUAUGGUUCUGGUGGGGCAUAAUUGAGACUCGAUCUCCUCACAUUACACAGCCACAAAUGGUGAUGGAAAUUUUGCAGUCAUCAACAAUUUAAUUAGGCUGAUUCUUUACUCAUUUAAAAUAAACCUAGUCUAAGGAGUUGGAAUGUUAUUUGGCUUUUCAUGCAAUUUAUAUUCCUGCGAUAGCUCACUUGUCAUUAAUUUUUAUAAUACAUACAUAUAUUAAUCCACUUAUUACUUUUCUUAUUGAAUUAUGUGAAGAGAAAAAUUAUCAAAGCUUUAAGCAUGAAGUCCAUGAACGACUCGGCAAGGAACUUCUUUUUCUGCUAUACAUGCUCAACAAGGAAGAUCAGCAGCCUCUGCAUCACUUAACAAAUUUACCAUAUUCGUCCAAGUAAUAGAAUAGGACCCACUUAAAUUUGAUAUUUAGUAAUUCUAUUGAUUAAUAAAUUUUAUAAGGAAUCAUCCCAUAUUAAAUAUUUUAUUGUUCAAUAAUUAAUUAUUCUUUAAACAAACUCUUUUAAUAUUAUUAAUCUCUCACAUAUUACCUGUUGUAAGUAAAUAAAUAAAUAAACUAAUAUUGCACUAAAUCAUAGCUUCUUUUUUUCUUUUAUUCAUUUCAGAAAGAAAGUUAGAGGAUGAAUGAAUAAAACAAAUACAACUACUAUUGGUGCAAAUAAAUAUCGAAAGUUUUUUUAGAGUAUGAUUUUCUUUUCUUGGUUGAUUUGAAUAUAUUGGUCUCACUUUUGUUUUAUAGUUUCAAUCUGUUAAAAUUUAACAAAUUAAUAUUUAUAAUAUUUAGCAGUUUCUUAAUCUAACAAAUAUAUUAAUUAUAUGAGGGUACACCAGCUAGCAAUUCUUUACCAUACUGGGUCAUGUAACGAGUACAAGGCAGGAAAAUUGUAUUUGGAAAACGACAACGUUUAAUCUCCGCCGUAGGCUCACAACUGCCACGUAUUCCCGCCUUAAAGAUAUUGAUGGGUGACGAGGAUCAAAUCUCAACAUUAGAUAACAACUCACAGCUUUUUGUACUCUCAGACCCACUUCUUUUCUCUUCUAAAGAGAAAUGCAAUUCUCUCACUCAGUUGAAGCAAAUCCAAGCCCAAAUGAUUGGUUUGAUCACUGAAGGGCUCGCACAGUAUCAGAGUCUAGAAAGGCUUGAUUACUGCACCAUAAUUUUGUGUAAUGCACAAAAGCGAAUUGCUUUUUCUUGGAAUGUAGCAACUAGAGGGUAUUUAGGAGUGAAAACCCUAGGGAAGCCGUAGGUUUGUAUAAAAGGAUGUCGAGGAGGAAAAAUGUUAGGCGUGAUAAUUAUACGCAGCCCUUUGGUAUUUAGAGUUUGUGCGUGCUUAUUGUUGACAUGUAUGAGUUGUUUCGGAUUGUCGGGCAUGUAAUGCAGUUGGGUUUUGAUAAUUAUCAUUUUGUGCACAAUGCAUUGAUACACAUUUUUGGUUUCUACAGGAAAUUGGUAUCAGCACAUAAGGUGUUUGAUGAAGGUUAUGUAAGAGACUUGGUCUCUUGGAAUUCAUUGAUAGAAAUUGGAAGGCAAUGGAAGCAAUAAGGAAUUACGAAGAAAUUAUGAAAGAGCAAAUAAAGUCUGAUGAGGAGACAACGAUCGGUGUCAUAUCAUCGUGUGAACGAUUGGAGGAAUUGAAACUUGGGAGGGAAUUUAAUGACAUAUUGAAGAAAUUGAAUUGACCACGUGUCAAACUUACUUAAUAUAUAAAGUGUUGGGAACUAAUCUCGAGGCAGCGGGACUACGAUGGUUGUUGUAUACGAGUAUGGGCUUUUAUAUACAUCGAGGAAGUUGUUGCAUGCAAUGGCGGAGAAAGUUUGUUACAUGGAAUGCCACCUUUGGAAGUCAUGCGAAGGUCAAGCAUAGCAAGGAGUCAUUGGCUUUGUCCAAUAGUAAUAUUAAUCCUGAUGAGGUGACUAUGUACAUGAAAUCGGAAUAUGGAUUCAACAUUAUAUAAAAAAGUACAUUCUUUCUGAAGAUAUUAUUUUAGGUAUUGCUUUGAUUGACAUGUAUGCAAAAUAUGGAAAUGUUCAAAAGGCUCCUCAAUUUUUUUCAUGAAAUGCCAAGGAAAAGCUCGCUGACAUGGGAAUGCACAUGUGCCAUAUUUACUUCUCCAAGAUGAUUGAUAUUGGGCUGAUUCCAGAUGAGAUCACGUAUUUCGAAGUACUAUCAGCUUCUUGUCAUGUGGGCUUGGUUGAAGAGGGCCGCAAAUUUUUUUUCUCACAGAUGAAUUCUAAAUUUAAUGUGUUACUCAGCUUAGACACUACUCUUGCAUGGUGUAGGGCUGGUUUUUGUUGAAGCACGCUAAACAGCUGAUUAAAAGCAUGCCAACAGAGACAGAUGCUGUGGGCAGGGUGCAUUGUUGAUCCAUGAAAUACCUUUGCUGGGGAAAGAGCAGCUUGAAAGCUUCUUGAGUUGGAUCCCAUUAUAGUGAAAUACAUAUUUUGCCUGCAAACAUAUACAAGGAAGCCAACAUGUUGGAGGAGGCUGUGAGUGUGAGUAGAAUGACGGGAAUGAUGAGGGAAAGAGGAGAGAAUUAGAUUCCUGGUUUUAGGUUAAUUGAGGUGAACAACAUUGUUUUAAGGAAAGAUUGCAUCCUCAAUCAAUUCAAAUAUCUGAAUGUUUAAUGCAGUUAACACGACAGUUGAAGUUUGUUGAAUGUAUUUCUGGUGUUCCAGGCUAUGGAAAUGAUUUCCUCUCAGGCUUUGAAGUUGAAACCCUUUCUGUUAGAUACUUAUGACAUAUGGAAAUUAUUGAUAGAACUGUUUCCCAUGGCGUUAUUAAUUAUAUUGAGUUGGUUAUAUUUGUUUUGAAGCCAUAAUGGGAAAGCCUCGCCAUCUUUUCUCAAGGUUAAAGAUUUUGCUUUAGGUCCAAAAUGCCUGCCAUGAAGAGAUGAUGUGAGUUUGGGUCCAAAGCCUGAUGAGAUCCUACAAGAGACUGGUAUGUGAGUGGAAGAUCAAUAUGCAAAAGGAGGUUUGCCAUUGUGCCAGAGGAACAGAACAGGCUAAUGCCAAGUUGUUACUUCCCCAAUCAGAUAUGUUUUCCUAUACUAUCCGAUAAACAUAAGAAAGAACUUCUCUAUCCUUUUCUAAUUUCUAUAUGAUGUAUUCUCAUUACUCAUCAGUCUAAAUUUUUCCUCAACCGUAAUCAUCUUCUGAAGUGAGCACACAGGAAACUGUUUUAUGUCGAUUCAGAUCAGGAAAAUAAUAGAUGCUGGACAUCCUAAAUUCUAAUUAUAGCUGGCCCAUGUUAUAGGUAAACAAAUCAAUUUUCUGCUGAGACUUUGGCAUAUCACUGCAAUAGAACUUGCUUAUACACUAUAUUUUUCUGAUUUACUUCCUUAUAGAUUAUGCUGCAAUUAUGCUUCAGAUAGCGCAAUGGAACUUUAGCAUUGUUAUGUUUCUGAAGUAGUUUAAGCUCUGAAGCCCAGAGAAAUUGAUGGUAAUAUCUCACCAUCAUGCAAAACUGAAUAGCUUGAUCUCAAAAUGAGAGUGGGUUAUAUAAGAUAGGCUUCAUGGUUUGCAGAUACCAUUGACUAUACUGAAAAGAUACCAAGAAGGUCUGAACUUAUGACAUGAUGUCCAUAGCAUAGAAUUCCUAUAAGAGAGGAGCAGUAUGUUGGGAUGGGAUGAUUAAACUUGUCCUAAUGAUGUAAGAAGUAAUGAUUACUGUAACCAUCAAAGCAAUGAGUGUCGUGGUUAAAAACUGUCUCUUAAAGGUGUUGACAAUCAUUGCAAGAGAAAAAUGGGAAGGGGGUGGGGGUGGGGGCUAUGGGAAUGUGUUUAUAGAAUACAUAUUUACUUGACCAGUUGACCUGUCUCCCAAAUGUGCAACUGUUAAGUCCUGAAUCAUUUCAUUUGGAUGGAUGAAUUGAAGAACAAAGGUUGUGCAUUCAAAAAUCAAAAUCUUUUUCUUUUUUUAUGUAAGUAGGAGAGGAAAAUAAAAAGCUCUGUUUUGUUCAGGGGUUGACAAUAAGUUGGUUCUAGAUCAAAUUUUAAAAUUUGCUGAGUUUAGAUUUAAUCUCAUUUGCUACGAAAUGGAAAGUGGAAACAGAGUUGCACUUUUAAUGAAUGUGUUUUAAGUGAGAAAAGGGAAGGAGGGAGGGAAGGGAAUAUAUGGAUAGGUCAUUGCUUGCACGCUAGGUUAUGUUCAUUUCAUUCCUGUUUCUUUGUCUUCUUUCUUUUCCUCCCACAUGCCUGACAGCCUUCUUUUCGGCUCUCUAGUCAGGCCACUGAUUACCCUGCUGUGCAUAUGGGCCAUGGCACUGGCCAAUUUCUAACUCAAGAAUCAAGAUCACCCCAUGAAAAUUGAUUGGACAACAUAACUAUAUCGGGAUGCACAAACACCUUUUCCUGUCCUUCUCCCGCCUGCUUUGCAUCUUCUAAGACGUGUCCAGUUGCCAUGACUCAUCAGGCUCACAGGAGAUUGCAAUUUUCCCCUUUUUGUUAUUUUCCGUAUCAAGAACAAGAACUAGGAAAAGAGAAAAAAAUAAAAAACAACAAUCAAUAACCGACCGGUCCAAAAGCUAUUAUACUUCAUGCAAUGCAACUGCUAGCUUUGAACUUUUUAACCCACAAUUAUUUAUUUAUUUAUUUAUCAUCAAACAUCUCAAAACUAUAGGCUAGAUUGAGUUGCGCACUACAUUGUGGCAAUUAUGGUUUCAUUAUACUUUCAUCGUUGUUGGAAACUGAACAUAGUGCCUGAACCACCCACCCAAGUAACAUAUGUUGACAAGACAAAUUAGGUUUUGUAAUUUGGUUUCAUGGAUGACCAAAUUGAGGAAAAUAAAGGAUUGUGGGGAGAGAUUCCAUGGUGGCAUUGGCAUAGCACAAGGUGGUGGACCUAAUGAGGGCAUUUCGGAAUAAUUGCCUUGAGAACCUUAACCAACAAGCACAUGAGAAUUCCUUUUUGGGCCCACAACAAUCCAAAAACAUACAAACCCAACUGCUAAAAAAGAAAAAAUAUUUCUUUUGCUGUUUUUUUUUUUUUUUUUCCAUUGCAUUCUUUCAAGUUAUAAAAACUUUAGCACCCAAAAUUUGACUUCUUGAGAAUUAUGUGCUCGAACAACUUCGAGUAAUCUUUUGCUUUAAACAGUGGUGGUGACCCAUUGGUUAUAAAAAAUUAUGAUUUAAGUAUGGAUUAUGAGUACAGCUAAAACAAAAACCUUUUACUUUUAUCAUAUUCUUUAAUGAAUGUGAGCUUUGCAGAUUGAUACCUAACCAACCAACUUAACUUAACUGAUACCAACUUAGCCUUAGAGAGAGAUCAGAUGGCUUUUGGUGAUCUCCUCUUUAACCAUAUUAUCACAUGGGUCCAUUUUAUAUGCACAAUCCAACUACUCGCUGCAACCCCAACCAUAAACGGCAGGAGUUAGGAAUUCCUUCUACCGCCUGCAAUUUUUUCUUUCUUUCUUUCUUUGGCGGAUUGCGAUUAGGGUUGAAUUUUCAUAAUUAUCCCUUUUUGAUUGUUUGAUAGGCACUGGUAGGUUAGAUCACUAGAUUUCGGCAAUACAAUUAACGAAAAAAUAAAUCCAGCGGUUGUAUUAUAUUACAGAAUUAUUUGAAUCAUCCAUUUAAUUUAAAAGGCUGAAUUUAUCCAAAAUAAAUAUUGGCAUAAAGUAGAUAUAUAUUAGAUAGUCAAGUCACAUUAAAAAUUUUCUACUCCAACGCACAUGCAUUAUUUUGUUCACACACACAAGCGUCAACGUGUACAGAGAAGAGGAAAAUAGGAGAGUGACAAAGCCUUCAGUCAAAAGAACUGAAGAAGAAGAAGAAGAAGAAGAGUAUGUAUGGUGAAGUGUGAUGGAGCUUUAAUGUCGGUUUGUUACUUUGUUUAGCCCAAAGAAUCCCAUCUCUUUCUUUUAUUAUUUAUUUUUUAUAAACAUCUCAUUCUUUUAUUCUUUUCUUUAUAAUCAUUAUCUCUCUUGAUCCACUCAUUUCACCUCUCUCUCUCUCUCUCUCUUCUUCUCUUUCUCUUUCUCUUUCUCGCUCUCAUUUUCUCCGAGAAAAUUUCGCUUCCGAUUCACGCGAUACCACAUUUUCUCUCUUUAAUUUCACAUUUUUAUUCUUAAUGUUCUAAUCUGGUGGUCUAAACUCUUCAGGUUAGCUCAUUCGGAUAUCAAAUUUUUACUGUUUGAUCAUUCAAUAUAGAGAUCAAAAUCAUGUAGUGCUACGCUUUCUUUCUGGUUUUUGUUUUCUAGUUUCUAUAUGUAGCUCUGCUUGUUAUUUUUCUUCUCUCUCUUUCUUAACCAAAAAGUUGAUAUCAGUUUGAAGAUCAAAAUUGUGCAAUGAAAAAUUUAACUUAGAAUGAAGAGCGAUUAUGAAGUCUGAUAUUUGUGAUCGUAGCUUUCUGGAGAUAAAACUGUUUAACGAGGCAAUUGAGUGUUUUUGCUUUUGUUGUUGUGUUUGGCAAUAAAGAAGAUUAAUGGAAUUUUGUCUAUUUAUUUAGUUCUCUUUGUGUUUUUGUGUCCGUAAAUGCUGUUGAGUUUUAGUGAUUUAAGAAACUUCAGUAAUUGUUUACUGUUGAGUUGUUUUUAUGUGUUUCAGUGUGGAACUGUUGUUGCCUGAUUUAAUUAUCGAGCUUUUCUACAUUCCUCUUUUUUCUUUUUUUGGCGGGAGACAUUCUUCUGUUUGUGCUGAAUGGAUUUUAAGUCUAAAUGUUAGAGAGUAGGUUGCCAUUUACCUUUUUCUUUUUUCGUUGAACGAUUUCUUGACAUUUUGGUGCUUCCUUGUACGACAAAUUAGUGAUUUGAGAUGAGUUGGAACUCGAAUAUGGAGGUUCAUUACACGAGCACUAGCUAUCCUUAUAACUCUGCCGGAAGCUUCAUGGAGUAUUUCGAAGGCCUUACAUAUGAACAUGUGAAUUUCAUUUUUGAUGGUGCUUCCCAUGUUGAGGUACCUUAUAUUUCCACAAUGGAUAGAGGUUGAAUUAUUGGUUCUACUUUUCACAUUGAGCAAGUAUAGGAAACCACUUACAGAAAAUUCCUAUUUGAGUUGUGUGCACAGAAAUAUCAUUGUUGAGACAGCAUUAUUUUUCUAGUGCAAUUGAAUAUUGCAUCUUUUGUCUUCAGGAAAGUGUAUACCCGUCCAUAAAUGCAAAUUUCUAUAAGUUUGGCAUGUCUCAACCUGGGAGUGGUUCAUACUAUGAUCAUAGUCAUGCUUAUGAGGUCCAUGAUCACAGACCGCAAAUCAAUGACUACAGAAGGCCCCUAGAGAAUUCUUCAACAAUGGUUAACUCACCGGCUGCUGCAGUUAAUGCCGAAUGGGAAGGAAAUGAAAAUCCGAGUACUCAAACUGAUCCUGUCGAAUGUAAGUUCUGAGUUGUAUUUUUGCUUUAUCUUUCCUAAUAAUGUCUAUAAGUCCUCCUUGGGGAAUGAUAGCUUAUAUAACCUUCUAUGGAUGGGUGGAGAGUGGAGAGGGAAGAGAUAGAGGGAGAGAGGAAGGGAAGUGAGAGGGAGCUAAUCUCUUGAAGGGGCAACACGAUCCUGCUGCCUCAGCAUUGUUUUUCUUCUCUUAUCAAUCUAGUUGUUUACUGGAGCCACCCCUCUAUCUUUGUUGACUCUCUGCAAUUUAUGUCUUUCGUUAUUGUUGUUCCAUUCUAUUUAGGAGCUGAAUGGCUGAGCCUUGAAAUACCACUUAGAAUAUAUUCCAUCUCAACCCCUGGCAUUUGUAACUUUGUUUUGCCAAUAGCAACAUAUAUAUCCUGUUUGGAUUCAGUGUAGUGAUCUCAUCAUACGCGGAGAACAGUUUAGGAGUAUCUAGGGAUAGCAUGGUUUUGUCUAUUACUUUUUAUUUCAGUUGCACUUGGUGUUGGAGCUUAGUUCAAUUGAAUAAUUCUAUUUGCUGAUCUCUUGUAUCUCAUUCACUUAAGAUUUGAGCAACUUUUCCCUGCUUCUAACAUCUUCCCUUACUUUCUAGGUCCUCGGAGACAUCUUAAUGCUCCAGAUAUCCAGGUUUGUUACUGUUAGCUUCACAGGGUUCCUUUUAUACCUGAUAUAUUUUUAUGUGGAAGAUUUACCUGCACCAUACCAUUAGUAGGUGCCAACUCGUUAAGAAAUCCUUAAAGUGGCUAUUGCUUUUAUUAAUUUAAAGCUAGAAGUUAAUACGAAAACUGCAACUUUAGUUAUAUGGUUCCUUUCUUUUGGCUUUGUGCAUUGCACUUUUGGUGUGUAUGUUUCUAUAGACAUAGACACAACUUUCCCUCCAUAUUCCAUGUUGAGUCUCUUUAUUUUUUUUUCUCUUUAAUUUUAAAAAGAUAUAACAAAUGUAAAAGAGUAGUGAUCAGAAUGCAGUGCCUUUUAGAUUGAGGAAAAGAGAAACAGUCAACUAACAAUAUAGAUUUUGCUUUCUUGCCCAUCAAAUAAAUGUUUGUUAUGGUUAUAGACAAAUUAAUAUACUCCUUAUCUGUGAACUCUGCAGGUCAUUUGGCAAGACAAUGUUGAUCCUGACAAUAUGAGUUAUGAGGUUAGAGCAUAGAUCUCUAUUAAAAGGGGUUAGAGAACGUGCAUUUCAGUAUAUGAAACUGCAUGUUUUUUUUUAAAUCUUUCUUCCAUGAUUAUGGUAAUAACAUUAGUGUUUGGUCCUAUGAUGGACCAUUAUUUCUUGCGUUAAAAGGGGUUAAAACACAUCCACUAUGAGGUUCAUAGAGUCCCCAUUUGUGGAGUGGAGUUUUUUCUACAUUUUAACUUGCAAAAAGUAUUCCAGUUCGUUGUUUUGUACAUAAAGUUCCAACCAGAUGCUGCUCCAAAAGAGCAUAAUCCAGCUGCAGGAGAAGGUAAAAGAUGAUGUUUCUAAUUUAGAAAUAUCUGAGCUAUCUAACUGAGUACAGAUUCUAUAUGCUGCCUCUUGGGGCUUGUCUAGGUUUCCUUUGGCUUUUGUCAUCUUCUUAAGGAGGCUUAAAUUCCUUUAUAUAGUUUGAUGUUGAUCAGUUGACAUGCACUUUUGAUUGAAGUUACUUUGGAUAAUUAUAUUUACUCUUUGAAAAAUCUUUCCGGUUCAGGAAUUACUAGAAUUAGGUGAGGCGGUUGGAAUGCAAAGUCGUGGUCUUUCCCAAGAACAAAUUGCUAUGCUUCCAGUCUCAAAGUACAAGUGCAGCUUCUUCUCAAGAAGGAAAUCAAGAAGUGAAAGGUACUAUCUGGGCUUAUAUACAUCAUGUGUGUUGAUCAAGUCUUCAUCUUGCAUGUGGUACACUGAUUGCUAUUUUUUCUAUACUUCUCACGUAAAUCUUUCAUGGUGAUGUGGAUUAAGCAUUCAGAUUAUAACAUUGAAACUGGAUAUUUGUUUUAGCUUUUGGUUUUAUGGGACUCUGCUCAGUAUACUACCUGGUGUGCACUUUCAGACUUCCGACAGUCUUUAACUUAGAUAUGUAAAAUAUCAUUCAUCGCAUGUAGAGUUCAUCCAGCUUUUAUAUCAAAUUGCGCCUCUAGAUUUUUGUUAGUACUCAUUGAUUGACGCAAUGGAUCAGAUAACUAAGGGAUUAUGGAGAAAAGCAUAAAAGGUAAACUAGAUAUGGACAAUUGAUGCCACAAAUAAUCAAGCCUUGAUAUUUCUAAAUUUUAUAGUCAUUAAGGAAAAAUAUUCAAUAUUGACAAUUCACAACCCCCAUUUUGAGAUAAAAAAAAAUUGUAUUCCUAUCUAAUUUUCAUGGAGUAUUUUACAUCAUUGUCCUGUUGCCUACCCUUUCUCCUUUUGUUAUAGGUGUGUAAUUUGCCAAAUGGAAUAUAAGCGAGGUGACCGGCGGAUUAUACUGCCUUGCAAACAUGGCUAUCAUGUUGGUUGUGGGACUAGAUGGCUUAGCAUCAAUAAGGUGAGCCGUUCAUUUUUACUAGGCAUUUCGUACAUGCAUUACACAUGAUGCAUUAAUUUUUAAUUCGUUAAUACAUUUAUUCUAUAUUACCGAAAAUAUAAAUUAACUAUCCAAUGUUACUUUUUGCAUUUUUGCUUUUUUAAUAAUAUUGUUUUACAAAUGUUCAAAAAAAAAUAAUAUUAUACACAUUCUUUUGUAUAUCUCUAUGUCUUUUCAUCCUUAUAUGAUUUUAUAAAUACUAAUUAACACAUUAGGGCUAUUUUAUAAUAAUUAAAAAAAUCAUUGACAAUUAUGAACUUUUAUUGUAUAAUAAAUAUGAUAAUAUUAAUAAUUAUUUUUUAAAGAAAGCUGAGCAACAAUAAACAUUCAAGUCUCAUUAAAUUAUUAAGUUGCAAAAGGUUAAUGAAGAAAAUAUAAGCAUAGGAAUCUUAACUAUUCAAAAGCUACAAUAUAUAGAUCAACUAACAAUUUAAAAAAUUAAAUUAACGAAAAAAUUAUAUAUAGAAAGGGAAUCUUAUCUGAUUAAUUCUUCAAAAGAUUUUAACAUACUUUAUAGUUGAAUUAUUGGUAAACUUUGGAUUGUAAUUUGCAAGGUAACAUAUCCUAAGUUUGGUUAUUAUAAGAUAAAUGGUAUUAGGUUUUCCUUUAGUAUAUAUGAGGAUUAUCAACUUAAGUUUUUUGUAAUUUGUAUUUAGAAAGUUACUUCUUAAGUUUUAACAAUUCUUAUGGAUUAGAAACAGGCAUUUUUGUAAACAACAAAAAACUUGAAGGAUAUUCUUUAUUCAUGCAUAUGUCCUUAUUCAAUUACAAGUCCUUCUGAUUGAAAAAUAAAGUAGUGAAGUAUUUUAGUACAUAAUCAAAAUUAUUAAGGACAUCCUUUUUAUAUAUAGUUUAGAUAAAAUGAAGGGAGAACCCAGUCAUGCUCGUUUUCUUUGACCAAGUCUUGAGAAACCUGACUCUGUUUUUGUUAUCAGGCCUGCCCCAUAUGUUACGUGGAUGUCUUUGGUGAUGCAUCAAAAUGUUAGGAAAUAAUCACUGGUGGACAUAUAGAAGAAGAUUGUCAACUCGUUUUUUUUUUUUUUUUUUUUUUUUCUAUCGUUUGGGUUUUGGGUAAUUUCCCCUGCACAAAUAGUUGUUUGCUUCAGCUUUUCCAUUUUCUGGUGUAGAAAACUAGGUUUUGCAAUAAACAAGCUAUAAACUUUAUGCAAGGUUGAUUUGUCUGAAUCCAGAUACUUGUAUCAACUUUAUAAUUGGUCUAUAUUUCACGGUUCUCUUCAGAAGGAGUUAGUGACGCUUGAGUUUGUUCUGUCAUGGAACUUGGCUGAUGAAAUCAUCUGUAAUGGUUGUGAAUUCUGAAAUUAUGGGUUCGAACAUAUUUUGAUGAGUUGGCGCCCUAGCUGGUCAGAAUAAGCGAGAAUAGUUCGUGUUUAGUUUUGGUGGUAGACAAAAAUUAGUAUCGGCAGGACAGAAAGGCCUAACUAAUUGUCCGUUAAGCAAACAAAACGCAGUAUAUACUAGGAUUGGUCUUCGUUGUUGUAGUAGAUAGAGGUGGCAAAGAUGAAGGGUCCGCUUCAUCAUAAUGUCUUUGGUAGGUGGCAAGUUGAACUCUUAGUUCCUUUCUCUGCGGGAUAAACUUGGGGGCGAAACGGGCCUAAUUGUAACCAUCUUCGUGCUUUAAGAAAAGGAAAAAAAUAAAAUAAGAAACACAAAUCAAAGACGUGGCUGCCUGGUGCAAUUUAUUAUUUGUAAAAUAAAUAAAUAGAAUAUCAAUAAUACCCCAGUUUUUCAAGCAAUUUAUUAUUUGUAAUACAUGAAUAAGAAGAUUGGUAAACUGGAUAAAAACCAGCAAGACAAUUGGCUUACGCCAAAAUGACCUUACAAAGAAAAGAAGAGUAUAUAUAUUAAAUAAUUAUAAUAAGCUACUGUGUAUUGCUUUGCAGAACUGUGUUAGCGUUGAACUGUUCAUUUUUAAUUUUCUUAGGUCUUAAAGCAUAGUUUUCUAUUACACGCUUGGCUGCUAACAGAUUAUAAAAGGAUAAUUGAGAUAAAAUUCUCUCUCCUAUUUUCCACUGGGUAACCUUAUAUAUAUAUCAUUGAGAGCAGCAAUUGAUUCAAUUUGUAUGUGGCUAUAUAUCGUUUGUUAUGUUUAAUUGGUUAGUUGUGAAUCCUUUCUCAUUCUGAGGGAUCUUUGAUUUCUUACAACUUAAAGUUCGAUGGUUGGCUUAUCUGACUAGUGCAUGGACUUGUAGUAAUGCUUAUUUGCGAUGAAAUUGUAAUUUUAUGAAUUUGAACAAAAGGAAAAAAAACAAAAAAAAAAACAAAGGACAAAUAUAUAGUUUAUUGAGCAUGAUGCUUAAUGAAGUCAUACAAGAAGAACAUAAUUACGCAAACUUUCCCUUAUAAUAUGGUAUCAAUAAUUUAGAGAAUUGAGUAUCAGUAACAUUUUAUUUUGAUGACAUUUUGUAUGAUAAUCCAUGUUUAUUCAUGAUUUUUCGGCUUGGAAGAAAAUCCUACAUGAGUAUAUCGCUAUCUGCAAUCACAAAAAAAGUCAAGUGAGGAAUUUUAUGCAUACCAAUGCUAAUAUAUAAUAGACUAAAUAAAAUAAACACAUUCUUUAAUUUAAUAUAGUAUUGAAGUAGGAAAAUAUUACUUCUUACCUUUUUUCUUGAUAAAAAUAUUUAAGAAUAUAUUAGGCAUUUGGUGGAGGCGGUGUUCUGAUAGGGAAUGGAAAUGGAAAAGGAAAAGGAAAUGGCCAAAAUCUAGGAGGUGGAGGCGGGGGAUUGCGAGGUGGAGGAGGUGGCAGUGUGCGAGGUGGAGGUGGAGGUGGAGGAUUGCGAGGUGGUGGUGAUACUGGAGAUUUUGGAGGUAAUGUAGGAGAUCUAGGUGGAAGUGAUUGUGGUGGUGAUACUAGAGAUUUUGGAGGUAAUGUAGGAGAUCUAGGUGGGAGCGAUUGUGGUGGUGAUACUGGAGAUUUUGGAGGAAACAUGGGUGAAGAUCUUGGCGGCAAUGUAGGAGAUCUAGGUGGGAGCGACUGUGGUGGUGAUACUGGAGAUUUUGGAGGUGGUGACGAUGGGGAUUUAGGAGGAAACGUGGGUGGAGAUCUUGGGGGCAAUGUAGAAGAUCUAGGUGGGAGCGACUGUGGUGGUGAUACUGGAGAUUUUGAAGGUGGUGACGAUGGGGAUUUAGGAGGAAACGUGGGUGAAGAUCUUGGCGGCGAUGUAGGAGAUCUGUGUGGUGGUGAUACUGGAGAUUUUGGAGGUGGUGACGAUGGGGAUUUAGGAGGAAACGUGGGUGGAGACCUUGGCGGCGAUGUAGGAGAUCUAGGUGGGAGCGACUGUGGUGGUGAUACUGGAGAUUUUGGAGGUGGUGACGAUGGGGAUUUAGGUGGAAAU